rnacentral:lncRNA from 1 species
AUAGACUUAUAUUGUUCAAAUUUGGAUUCCUUUCCGGGAAGUGGUUUGUCCACCUCAAACCUCAAAGUCCUCCGCCUCAGUUACUGUGAAAAACUCCAAGCUCUGCCCGACGGUAUACACAACCUCAGCUGUCUAGAACAACUAGAAAUAGAAAAUUGCCUCAAGUCUGACAUCCUUCCCAGAAGAGGGCAUUCCUACUAAUCUCAAAAGACUUACCAUCAAAGGACCCAAUAUUUGUAAGCCACUAAUUGAUUGGGGAUUGCAUAGACUCACUUCUCUUAAAUCUCUCUGGAUAGAAAAUGGAUGUCCCGAUGCAGUGUUGUUUCCACAAGAAGAGAGAGGAAUGACGCUGCCCUGCUCUCUCACCUCUCUCGUCAUCAGCAAUUUCCCAAAACUAGAAACCCUAUCCUCCAUGUGCUUUCAGGACCUCACCUCUCUGGAGUUCUUGUCCAUCGAUUCUUGCCCAAACCUCAAGUCUCUUCCGGAAAAGAAGAUGCUUUCUUCGCUUUUGCGGCUACAUAUUAGGAGAUGUCCAGUGCUAAAAGAACGGUGUGGAAAGGAUAAAGGACCAGAGUGGUCCAAGAUAGCCCAUAUACCUUGUGUGCAACUUAAUGAUCAGAGCCGUUUCCGUUUCAGAGGAUAAUGGUUUAGACAAUAAUUCUUCAGAGCAGCAAGUUGAAAACAAAAGAGUCAAUGGAUCAAAGUCUCAGGCAUGUCAAUUUCAAAUUGAUCUUUUUACUAUUAUAGUGUUCCUUACAUCUUCAAAUGUAUACACUAAGGAGAAAGGAAAACACUUUCAAUUUAUUUUAUUAAUCUUCAGACAUUUAAUUUUUUUGUAGAUUCAUGAUCCACUGAUUUUUUUUCCAUUAAUUAAAAAAAAAGAGAUUUUCGGUUAUUUUUGCAGCAUAAGAUACUAACCACGACCUUAUCUACAGAAUGCUUGUUAUCUGAUGAGAGUAGAGAUUGAAGUUGUAGAAAAGAAUUUCACAUAGGUAUAUGUGGUGUUGGGAUUUGCCUUGAAUCUUAUAAUCUUACAUAAAAAAUUAGUGAGUUUUUGAAUUUGUCUUGUAUUUAACAUUGAGAGUUUAGUAAAUGUAUAAAGGGUUUCACCCUUAUAAAUAAAAUGUUUUAGUUUUAGUUUGAUAGUCCUAUAUAAUUAGAUACCAAGGGAAUAGCUAGGUGAGUAGGCUAUUAAAAGAGUGUGAUUGAAUUUUGGGUUAAAUUUUGAAUAAAGAGUUUUUAGAGACUUUUUUCAUUUUAAAAAUUUCUCAUAGUUGUAAAGAUUUAUUUGUUGGUGGAUUGUAUUUGGAGUAGCCAUUUUGAGUUGGGCUGAACCAAAUAUAUUUGUGUGUUUUUAUUCUUGAUUUGAGUUUGCUAUUUUGUUGUAAAGAUUUAUUUAUUAGUGGAUUGUGUUUGGAGUAGGCCAUUUUGAGUUGGGCCAAACCAAAUAUAUUUGUGUGUUCUUAUUCUUGAUUUGAGCUUGCUAUUUUGUGUGGGUGUUAAUAUUCCUAACAAGUGGUAUCAGAGUGAGGUUCAAGGUUUAAGGUUUGGGGCCUAAGAGAUCAUAAAACAGUGUUUGAAAAUGUCUAAAGUAGGUAUCUCUAGUAUGCCUAUACCUAAGUUUGAGAUUUCGUUAUUUAAUGGAAAGAGUAAUUUUAUGUUAUGACAAAGUAUACAACAAGGAUUGGAUUAGGCAUUAGAGAGUAAUAAGCCUGAGGGAAUGUCUGAGCCUAAUUGGAAUAGGAUUAAGAAGAAAGCUGUUAGUACUAUUAGAUUAGUGCUAGCUCCAGAGGUAAAGAAUAGUCAGUUGACUGAGAGUACUACAAAAAGUUUGUGGGAUAAGCUUGAAGGUAUUUAUGCUUCGAAGUCGUUGACUAACAGAUUAUGUUUGAAGAUGGAUUUGUAUUAAGAAGGUAUGAGUCUUCAUAAUCACCUGAAUGAGUUUAAUAGAUUCGUUUCUCAAUUGCUAGCAAUUUCUAUUGAUGAGUUAAAAGAUGAAAAGAAAGCUUUAAUUUUGCUGUCAUCUUUGACCAAGUUUUAUAGGCCUCUAGUUCAGACUAUGUUGGUUGGUAGGUCUACUUUGAAGUUGGAUGAUGUGACUGCCCUAUUGCAUGAGAAUGAAAGGUUUAUGGGAGCUCAGAACGGAGUACACUAGCUGUACAGGGUUUUGAUCGAGAAAGGACUCAAAAGAAGAUUGAUGGAUCAAGAGGAAGAUUUAAGUCAAGAGAUAGAAAUUACAGUGACAUAGAAUGUUAUUAUUAUGGUGAAAAGGGACAUAUCCAAGUGCGCUGCAGGAAGCUGAGAAGGGAUAUUGCUGCUUUCAAAAAGGCGAAUGAUGCGAAGAAAUCAAAUGAAAAGAAGAGUGAUACUGCUGUUGUCAUGUCUGAUGAUGAUGAUGAUGUUGUUUUGAUGACUUAUGUAGAUGAGGCUCUGACUUUGAAAGGUGAUAAAGGUUGGGUUUUUGAUUCAGUUGCUACAGUUCAUGUCUGCAAUGAUAGGAACUGUCUGCAAUGAUAGGAGUUACUUUGUGGAGUUGGAUGUGAAUGAGAAGUAUGGAGAUAUUGUGGUUGCUAACAAAGAAAAGGUGCAGAUUCAAGGCAUUAGGAGUGUUCGCCUUAGAUCUCACAAUGGUGUUGUUAGGAUGCUUCAUCAUGUAAGGUAUGUACCAAGUUAUCACUACAAUUUGAUUGCUUUUGGUGAGUUAGCUUCUCGGGGAUACACAUAUUAUGGUAGUAAUGAUUGGUUGAAAGUGUACAAGAAUGAUAGUGUGAUUCUACAAGGGAAUAGGGUCAAAAAUCAUUUGUACAUGUUUGAUGGAGGCUUCGUUGCUGGGAUCCUUGUGAUGAAAGAAAAGAAGAAAUGUAAGCGUGUUAGCUUUGCAGAUACUGUUGAAGUGUUUGGAGAUUCAAGUUAAGGCAGAAUUUGUUGGGAUUUACCUUGAAUCUCAUAAUCCCACAUUGAAAGUUAGUGAGUUUUUGAGUUUGUCUUGUAUCCCACAUUGGGAGUUUAGUAAAGGUAUAAAGGGUUUCACCCUUAUAAAUAAAAUGUUUUGGUUUUAGUUUGAUAGUCCCAGAUAGUUAGACACCAAGAGAAUAGCUAAGUGAGUAAGCUAUUAAAAUGGUGUAAUUGGAUUUUGGGUUAAGUUUUGAGUAAAGAGUUUUUGGAGACUUUUCUUAUUUUAAAAGUCUCACAUAGUUGUAAAUAUUUAUUUGUUAGUAGAUUAUUUUCAGUUAUAAAGAUUUAUUUGUUAGUGGAUUGUGUUUGGAGUAGGCCAUUUUGAGUUGAGUCGAACCAAAUGUAUUUAUGUGUUCUUAUUCUUGAUUUAAGCUUGCUAUUUUGUGUGGGUUCUUUGUAUGAGUGUUGAUUUUCCUAACGCUUGGUGCUAGUUGUUGUAUGGAGCAGAGUUUUAUGAAUUUUCCUGCCAAUUUUGAUAGCACAAGUAUAGGUCUUUCUGUGUUCAAUCUAAAUAUUUACUAUAUUGGAGCAUUAGCAAACUUGAACUGAUUUUCUUUAAUCAAGAGUUCCGGACUAGCAUAAUCUUUCAUUUUAUUCAAAAGAGUCAAAAAAUCCAGUUAUAUUUUUUUAAAACAAUUAUUUUUCGUGUUCACAAUAUUUUCAGGAUAAUUUUACAUGUUUUAGUUUCUUCUAUAGCUAAUUGGACAUGUAAUUAUUAGGAGUUAUGAUCUAUCAUUGCAACAUUUUAAGAAGCCCUCAUUAUUUGUUCUUGCAGAGUUCAUGUGCUCAAUUGUGAAAUAACAGCCUAUCACCUGUGAAUACAUGGAUAAAAGAUUCAUCUAUUAUUUAUAGGUGGAAAAACAAGAACCAUUUCAUCUCACGGAGAAGAAAAUGGCAUAAGUAAAGAGUAUACCUUCUUCCAUAUUUGCAAUGAAACCUAAGUAUGGAAGUUAAAAAUUCCUUUUUAUUCUUUUCUUUUACACUACUUUUAAUAACCUUCAUUAUUUAUAUAUUUAUAAUUGAACAUUGCCAACAGAAUGGUGCAAAGGAAGGUGAUAAAGAACAAGAGUGGUUCAACGUUGUCCACGUGCUCUUUUCCAAAUUGAUGAUGGUUUCACAUGUUAUCAAGAGGAAUUUGACUAAAAUCAAUUAGAGGAUGUCCCGGGUAUGACAAUUUGGAAAUGCAUCAGAAUAGAUGUAACACUUAAAACUUUAGGAGGAUUUUGUUUCACAAUUAUAUAUGAUAUUGCAUAUAAAAAUCGAUUUUGAGAAAUUUGCAUUGCUAUUGAACAAUUCUUGCAUAUGUUACAUGUGACAUAGAAACGUUCAGUUUAUUUAGAUAUAUAUUUCAAAGAUGAAAUUGAUUGUACAUUCAUCUAUGAUCCAGAGAAGUCAAAUUGAAAGCUGUUUAAUCUCUGAAAAGUAAAGGGAAGAAUGAGGGAUUACAAAUUUACAUUAUCCUUUGCAUAUACUCAAGGCUAGGUAUUUCAAUUUGGAAAAGCUUUUCCACUUUCAUUCUAAUGGAUUUCCAAUUUCCAAAAAGACAUUGCUAUUCGUCUUACUUCCAUUUUGAAACUUAUAGAUAUUACAGUUGUUCAUUUUUCAGGUAUGCGAGGAGUCUGGACCGCCUGUCACAUGGAUCUUUGUCUGGUGUCUGUCUUUCCUGUCAGUUUGAUUUUCAUCCCUUUUUAGCAUGAAAUGAUAUUAAUUAAGACCGGCAUCCCAACUUCGAGUUAGGAAAGAGGGAACCGAUAAUUUUUAGUUUACAGGCAUUCAUGGAAGUUGCAGAAUGUGCGAGACAAUGUAAAUGGUAAGAAGCUGGUUUUAUUUAAUGUUCAGGUAUUUACGUAUUUACAGCUUCUUUUUUGUACUUCAAUUUCUGUAAUUUCAGUCCAAUUGGAGCUCAAUGAAGGUCUAGAAGCUAGUCCCAUGCUGAAACAAGGUGUGAAAAUGGAUGAUGGGAGGAAGAGAUAGUAAGUACCAACAGAAAUAAUACUUUUUCUGGUACAAUGGUAAAAUUAAAAUAUUUGCUAAUUCUGAAACCUUUGAUGAGGUCUUUUAUUCCUAGAUACUUUCUAUUUGCAUGUUAAAUUACAAAACUUUAUUAUUAAUUGCUUUAAUUGAUAGAUAUUUUAAAAACUCUUCUAUGUUUUCAUAUCAUUUGAUUAUUUCUCAAAGAAAGAGUAUUUGUUCUUGUUGCAUGUUGUUUAACCUAUAGAUUGCAAUAUAUAAGAAAUUGACAUGAAACUUUUAAUUUUUGUCAUUUUUUCUUAUAAGAUUGUCAUAAAACUUGUACCAGGGAACUUAAAGAAGAUAAAAAAUGGUAAGUGGCAGUGCAGCACAACUGUUUCUUACCAGACCAGGCAGUGCAACACGUAUGUUGUUUCUUACCAGAACAACUGUACAGAUGCAUUGAGCUUAUGCUUUAAGGAGAAGCUUCCCUGCCUGUGCCUCAAUGUCUGAGAAAUGUAGAUACUGUACCAGCCGUGACAUUGAACCUAGGCAUCAGUAAGUGACACCAUUGACGCAAUGAUUAAAAGAAGCACCCAAGCUUUUGCUCUUCUUUUCCACUAAACCAUCUUACCUGGUUGAGUUUUUCUUUGUAGUCAAUCCAUGCCAUUCUUUAAAGCUGUCAAUAAAAGUGGGUACAUUUUUGUUUGGAGACAUGAUAUAUCCAGGUUACAAGCAUGUUAAACCACUUCAAAGGUAGCUGGUAACCAAGUGCUUAUGUCACGGGUCGAGACUCAAGCUCCGAACCCGCGCGGCUUCGGGACCCGGGCAUUCACCCUUCCGGCGUCCCAGAUCAGCCUUCAUGCCACGGUUCACACCCUUGUGAGGUAUUGUCCGCUCUGGCCCCUCCUGACCUCACGGUUUUGUCCUACAAAAGGCACCUCACAAGACGGAGAUGGUGUGAACCCUUUUAUACCCUAGUAAUCUUCCUAUUAUAUUCGAUGUGGGAUUCAGGACUUAUCCUUAGGUCCGUGACAUUCUUCUGCACCCAAUCUCGUGAUGCCCUUAUCACGGAAGCUAGCCACCCUGCCUACCUCCCUCGAGGUGCUUGGCGUGGAUCGAAUGGUUUAGGGCUGGCUCUGAUACCACUUGUCACGGUCGAGACUCAAGCUCCGAACCCGCGCGACUCCGAGACCCGGGCAUUCACCCUUCCGGCGUCCCAGAUCAGCCUUUAUGCCACGGUUCACACUCUUGUGAGGUAUUGUCCGCUUUGGCCCCCCUAACCUUACGGUUUUGUCCUACAAAAGACGGCUCACAAGACGGAGAUGGUGUGAACCCUUUUAUACCCUAGUGACCUUCCUAUUAUGUUCGAUGUGAGAUUCAAGACUUAUCCUUAAGUCCGUGACACUUAUAUCUUGCUAUAUGAUUUUUGGUAGCAUGAAGAUGCCGAUAAUUUUGAUUUGCAUCUGAAAUUCAAACCUUGAAGAAAGUAUCUGAAGUAAUCUUGAUGUUUUGAAAUUGAUUUUGUGGGCAGUGUGCAAGGUUUACAAAUUACGAUCUGUGGAAGGCUAACUCAAGUUAGAGAUCAGGUAUAGUUCCAAUCUAAACAAUAUUUUGUUCCAUCUGAUUUGAACACGAGUAUAUACAAGUUCCAAACCAUUAAUCCUGCUUCUUGAAAUACUGGAAUAUUGAAUGCUCCUUUCACCUAAAAGGACGAGGUAAAUUUCUCUUGGAUCUCUCUGUGGAUUUGGCUUUCUGGCCUAUAAAAGGUUAGUUCUUUCUCCAAGACUUUUAAAUGUUAUCUAUAUUUACAUAAUUGAAAGAAAAAUGGAGCAUACUGAGCUUUGAUCGACUUAAAUACAUCUUAUCUUUUAAAUACAUGGAGGUUUAACUUGACUAUUGAUGUUGGUUGCAGUUCAAGUUGCAGAGGCCUUCGUUCUACAAAAGCAAAUGAAGGAAGUUUAGAAAUGCGGUGUUCAAUUUAUGUUAAAGUAGCACAAAGGACANNNNNNNNNNNNNNNNNNNNNNNNNNNNNNNNNNNNNNNNNNNNNNNNNNNNNNNNNNNNNNNNNNNNNNNNNNNNNNNNNNNNNNNNNNNNNNNNNNNNNNNNNNNNNNNNNNNNNNNNNNNNNNNNNNNNNNNNNNNNNNNNNNNNNNNNNNNNNNNNNNNNNNNNNNNNNNNNNNNNNNNNNNNNNNNNNNNNNNNNNNNNNNNNNNNNNNNNNNNNNNNNNNNNNNNNNNNNNNNNNNNNNNNNNNNNNNNNNNNNNNNNNNNNNNNNNNNNNNNNNNNNNNNNNNNNNNNNNNNNNNNNNNNNNNNNNNNNNNNNNNNNNNNNNNNNNNNNNNNNNNNNNNNNNNNNNNNNNNNNNNNNNNNNNNNNNNNNNNNNNNNNNNNNNNNNNNNNNNNNNNNNNNNNNNNNNNNNNNNNNNNNNNNNNNNNNNNNNNNNNNNNNNNNNNNNNNNNNNNNNNNNNNNNNNNNNNNNNNNNNNNNNNNNNNNNNNNNNNNNNNNNNNNNNNNNNNNNNNNNNNNNNNNNNNNNNNNNNNNNNNNNNNNNNNNNNNNNNNNNNNNNNNNNNNNNNNNNNNNNNNNNNNNNNNNNNNNNNNNNNNNNNNNNNNNNNNNNNNNNNNNNNNNNNNNNNNNNNNNNNNNNNNNNNNNNNNNNNNNNNNNNNNNNNNNNNNNNNNNNNNNNNNNNNNNNNNNNNNNNNNNNNNNNNNNNNNNNNNNNNNNNNNNNNNNNNNNNNNNNNNNNNNNNNNNNNNNNNNNNNNNNNNNNNNNNNNNNNNNNNNNNNNNNNNNNNNNNNNNNNNNNNNNNNNNNNNNNNNNNNNNNNNNNNNNNNNNNNNNNNNNNNNNNNNNNNNNNNNNNNNNNNNNNNNNNNNNNNNNNNNNNNNNNNNNNNNNNNNNNNNNNNNNNNNNNNNNNNNNNNNNNNNNNNNNNNNNNNNNNNNNNNNNNNNNNNNNNNNNNNNNNNNNNNNNNNNNNNNNNNNNNNNNNNNNNNNNNNNNNUACAGGCUACAGCGGAAAAGGUUAAAUUUGAGGGGGAGUAUUUCGCUAGCCACUGCGGAGGCAUUAGACCUCACGAAAGCAAUAGGUUACUUUACUCCCUCCUAGAGGGACGGAGCUCGGUAUAGAGCUAUGUUAUGCACAUGCACCAUGAACGACAUAAUUAACAAGGUAAAUAAACAGGAAUGAAUAAUAACACAUAUAUACAAAAAUGGUUCAAUUUUAUUAGGCUUUGGAUAACACCAAAUUAUUUGCUAGCCUGACUCUCAAAGUCCCCAGUGGAGUCGCCAAGCUGUCGUAACGUCUAGAUUCGGGGAUCUAUCGCUAGACAUUGACUUAAGGGAGUCGCACCAAUCUUUUUAUCUAGGUGUGAUUGGCCACCUAAGGAAUCUGUCCUUUCAGGGAACACCUAAGCUUAAGGGUCCCUAAAGGAAUAGGUUCAGGUCUACUAACCAGAACAGGGUUCGGGAGUUCGGUUACGUGUGAGGAAGGUUAUAGCACCCUCACAACGCCCAUCAAAAGAUGGUUACCAGCUAAAUUUGUGUUAUCCAAAGCUUUAAAAUUUUAUCAAGUAAUUAGUUAUUGGAAAUUAUUCUCAAUUGACUCUAAUACUUUUAGCAGAAAAAUUGAGGAAAAUUCCCUCACCUCAGGAGUAUGCCAAGAAAACUACUGUUUCACUUACAGAGGCUCCGUCGUCGGAUUAUUUAAAGAAAAAAAACAAAAUUCAAAAUUUAGAUUAGAAAGGAAGGAUUUUUUUUUGUUAAGGGAAAAUUGAUACUUUCAACUUUCCCCAAAAAUAUUUUCUUGAAAUUUUAAUUUCGAGGAAAAUUGAUACUUUCAACUUUUCCUCAAAAAUUUAUUUUUUUUUUUUUGAAAAUUUAUUUCUAAGGAAAUUGAUACUUUCAACUUUUCCCCAAAAAUAUUUUUUUUGAAAAUUUAUUUCCAAGGAAAAUUGAUACUUUCAACUUUUCCCUAAAAAUAUUUUUUGGAAAUUUGGAUUUCAAGGAAAAUUGAUACUUUCAACUUUUCCUCAAAAACCCUUUUUUGAAAUUUAUUUUUAAGGAAAAUUGAUACUUUCGACUUUUCCCCAAAAAUAUUUUUUGGAAAUUUUGAUUUUCAAGGAAAAUUGAUACUUUCAACUUUUCCCUAAAAAUAUUUUUUUUUGAAAUUUUGUUUUUAAGGAAAAUUGAUACUUUCAACUUUUCCCCAAAAAUAUUUUUUUGGAAUUUAUUUUAAGGAAAAUUGAUACUCUCAACUUUCCCCUAAAAAUAUUUUUUUUGAAAAUUUUAAUUUUCAAGAAAAUUGAUACUUUCAACUUUUCCCCAAAAAUAUUUUUUUGGAAAUUUAUUUCUAAGGAAAAUUGAUACUUUCAACUUUUCCCUAAAAAUAUUUUUUUUUGAAAAUUUUAUUUUUAUUUAAAGAAAAUAAAUAAAAAGAAUAUUACAUAAACCUAAUCUAAUAAAUAAAAAAAAUAAAUAAACAAAUAAACAAAGAAAAAAAUUCAAAGAAAAAAAAAAAAAAAAAAACCCUGGAGCAGCUCGGAUCGCGGCUCGGCUCAAGGAAGAGAAAACGGCUCGGGGAAGCGGCUUGGUGGCUUGGCUCGGCUCGGCUCGGCUCGGAGGGCUGCACGCGCGGGUCAGAAAGCGGGUCGACGCCCGGGUCGGGUCGGGUUUUCGGCAAAACGCGCGGAUCCUCUGAUUAACUUAAGCCAAAACGACACUCGUUUUGGGAGGGUUAUAAAAGGCACUACCCUCUGUUUUUCGGCAGACCGCCCCUCCUCUCUCUCUCUCUUCUUCCUUCUUUCCUCUGCCUUCUCUCUAAAGACUGAAGAACACCGGUGGGAUUUCGCCGGAUUCUGGAAAUUCUCGCCGGAAUCUGGAAAAUUUCGCCGGAAGUUCGCCGGAAGUUGCCGAAAGAUCGCCGGUUUCUGGGAUUCUUCGCCGGAAACUGGGAUUGUUGCCGAAAACUUCAAGUUUGGCCGGAACUAUCGCCGGAAAAUUCAAACUUCGCCGGAAUUUUUGCCGGAAUCUGGAAAUUUCCCAGAAAUUUCCAGAAAAUUUUUUCGCCAAAAAUUUCUAGAAAUUUUUUCUCACUCCCAGACCACUCCUAAACUUUUCCUAGCUUCCUAUACGCCUCCUUUUCUCUCAAAUCAGUAGCUUUGCUUACUGUUUUCUGUGUGUUCUUGAACUGUUCCAGGAGGUGCUUUAUAUAGGGAUUGAUCAGGAGUUUCUGAUCAAUCCCAAUUCCUCCUUGGACGGGGAAUUCAGUUUUUGAAUCCAAUUGGACUCUCUUGAUUGAAAUUCCCAUUCCCGGUAGGAUUCUUCAGCUUCAAUCUUAGCCCUCCAAAAUCAAAAAAAAAAAAAUAUCUGAUAAUCAGGAAAAAUCAGAACAGAUAAUUAAAAAUAAUAAUAAUAAUAAUAAUAAUAAUAAAAUAAGAUAAACCCAAGUAUAUAUUACAAAAAAAUAAUAAUAAUAAUAUAUAACUGUAUAAAUAAAUACAUAUAAAUCUAAUCUGAAUAAAAAUAAAUAAAUAAAUAAAGAUAUACAUAAUAAUAAUAAUAAUAAUAAUAAUAGAAUACAUAAAAUACAAAAGAAGAAAAAAAAAAUAUACAGGAUUGAAAUGGGCCUUACCCAUUUUGGGUCAGGCCCAAUUGAUUUGGGCCCGGACCUAAUUGGGUGUCUACAGUAUAUAUUUAUUUAAUUUAGUUUUGAUACUUGCAUUAGUAUGAAAAGCUAUGAUUUUAACUCAUUUUUACGUGUUAAACUAUGAAUAGCAAAUUAAUAGCAUUUAUUCAUUGCUUUUCAAGUCCUCUACACUUAAAUUUUUUCUUACUUUCUCUAUCUUACAAAUUAUAUCAUUUAACAUAUAUUGUAGUUGUUUUUUUUCUGAACACAUGCAAAUCAAUAAUAAAAUAAUAAUAGAUAAUUGAUAAUGUAGUAAUUAAUCAUUAAAAACUUAAAAAGUACUAAGUAUAACUUAGUAGUAAAUGAAUGAUAACUUAGUAGUCAAUAAUUGAUAACUUAAUAGCAAAUCAAUAAUAACAUAAUAAUAAAUACAUAAUAACUUAUAGUAAAUCAAUUAUAAUAUGGUUAUAAAUGCAUAACAAUAAAGUAAUAAAUCAAAGAUAUCUUAAUUAAAAAAUAAGUUAUAAUUUAGUAGUUAAUCAUUGAUAACUUAGUAAUCAAUUAUUAAUAACUUAAUAGCAAUAAUAAUUUAAUAAUAAAUCAAUUUUAGUUAAAUAGUAAUUAAUUGUUAAGAGUAAAUCAUAAAUAAUUUAGUAGUAAAUCAUCGAUAAUUUAAUAGUUAAUCAGCAAUAACUUAAUAAUAAAUUAUGGAUAAUUUAAUAUAAAUCAGUAAUAAUUUGAUAAUGAAUUAUGGCUAAUUUAGUAGUAAAUUGUUAAUAGUUUUAUAGUAAAUAAUUGAAAAUUAAAUAAUGAAUAAAUGAUAACAUAAUAGUAAAAACAUGAUAAUAUAAAGGAAAACUAUUGAUAAUUUAGUAGUAAAUUAUUGAUAACUUAAUUAUUGAUAAUAUAGUAGUAAAUUACUAAUAACUUAGUUGUAAAUUGAUGAUAAUUUAGUAAUAAAUUAAUUAAUCAUCGAUAACUUUGUAGUAAAUCAUUGAUAAAUAACCAAUAAAUUAGUUAUAAAUUUAUAAUAAAUAAUUAAUAACUUCAAAGUAAGUCAUCAACAAUUUAAACUAAAAUCAUCCAUAACUCAAUAGUAACUCAUUUUAAUGUUAAAUCAUUUAUAAAUUAGUAGUAAAUCAUAUAUAAUUUAGUAGUAAAUCAUUGAUAACUUAAUAAUAAAUUAUUGACAAUAUAAUAGUAAAUCAAUGAUAAUUUAAUUAUCUAUCAUUAAUAAUUUGUUUGUACUUGAAGUUACUAUGGAUAAACCUUGAUUACUAACAUAAAUGAAGUCAGAACUUUCAUCUUUGGAGCUAACAUAAACUUACCAUUAAAUUAUUAAAAAAAAUUAGUAAAAAAAUAUAAAUUUAAAUGAAGUAAUAAUGUUAUUAUAUAAAAAGAAAAUGAUCUCAUAUAUUGUUGAAUUUUUAAACUCCGCAUUUCCUAUAUAGUUGUAAAUGCAUAACAGUAUAUCAGUAAAUCAAAGACAGUUUAAUAAAAAAAUAAGUGAUAAUUUAAUAGUUAAUUAUUGAUAACAUAGUAAUAAAUCGAUGAUAACUUAAUAAUAAGUUAUUGAUAACUUAAUAGUAAAUUAAUUUUAGUUUAAUAGCAAUUAAUUGAUAAACUUAGUCAUAAAUUAUAAACAACUUAAUAAUAAAUAAAUGACAAUUUAGUAGUUAAUCAUUGAAACUUAAAAGUAAAUUAAUAUAAGUUAAUUGUAAAUAAUCGAUAACUUAAUAGUUAAUUAGUGAUAACUUAAUAAUAAAUCAUAAAAAAUUUAAUAUAAUUAGGUGAUAAUUGGUAGUAAAUCAUAGAUAAUUUAGUAAUACAUUUUUGAUAAUUUUGUAGAAAUAAUUAAAAAUUUACGUAAUAAAUCAAUAAUAACAUAAUAGUAAAUACAUAAUAAUAUAAUAGUAAAUCAUUUAUAAUUUAGUAAUAAAUUAUUAAUAAUGUAGUAGUAAAUAACUAAAAAUAUAGUAGUAACUCACUAAUAAUUUAGUUGUAAAUAACUGAUAAUUUAACUAUAAAUUAAUGAUAAUUUAGUAAUAAAUUAGGUAAUCAUUAAUAACUUUAUAAUAAAUUAAUAAUAAAUUAAUUAUAAUUUAUAAUAAAUCAUCAGUAAUUUAAUAAUAAAUCAUCACUAAUUUAGUAGUAAAUCAUUUAUAAAUUACUAUUAAAUCAUUGAUAAUUUAAAAGUAAAUUAUUAAUUGAUAGCAUAAUAAUUAAAUAAAACGAUUGAUUAGUUUUUAGUAUGAUUGACAUGUUAUUUAAAAUUAAUAUUUAAAAGUUUUAGGUUUAAAAAUAUUUUUUUCAGUUAGAUAAGUUGUAAAAUAAAAGAAUUUUAAAAUGAAUUAAAUUUUCAAAAAAAAAAUUACUCUUUCUUACUUAAUUUUAGUAUCAUUUAAUUUAAAUGUAACCAUAAUAUAGAAUUUAAUAAAGGGUAUCUUAAAAAAAAAUAAAAGACAAAGGAAUCUUUGUUGCAAUUAUUACCUAAGUGGGACCAAUAGUGGGGAGGAGCAUAAGUCUUGCUUCAACAGCUAACAACAAAAUACUGAUUCACAAAGGACAUAUAUUUUUAGAAAAGAACCACGAACAGUCAAUCUAUACACCAAUAUUAUUGCAUAAAAAAUUUACCACUAACUCUCUCAGAAAGGGAAAGUAAUGUUUAAAGAAAGUGAAAUUUGAUUAUUUGAUAGCAAUUUUUUUAUUUAUUAAAUAUUAAAAUUAAUACAAAUAAUAUAAUUUAAAUAUAAAAAACUAAUUAGUCCCAAAAAAGUAGUGUCCAUAUCCGUUUUGUUCUUUAAAGUCCAUUUUAUAAGGUUCUCUUGAAAGAGGUCAGCUCUUUUAUUAAUAAAGAGAUGAAUUAAUAAGGUUUCGUAACCGAUAAGUCGAAUUUAAUUUAAUUUUUUAAAUAAUAUAUAAUUAAAAUUUUUAAAAAUUUAAUUCAAAAUUUAAAUUGAAUUUUAAUAAUUUGAUUUAAUUUGGUUUAUUAUUUUUUAAAAUUUAAAUUUAAAUUUUUUAUUUAUUAUUUUAAUAUAAUUUUUAAUAUAUCUUAAUAAAUGUAAAUAAAAUAAUUAUUUUAUUUUAUAAAAAUUAAUAAAAAUAUAUAUUUUUAAUUUUACUUUCCAAUUAAAAAUUUAAUCUAAAUUUAAUAUAUAUUUAAUAUUUAAAUUAAAUAAAAAAUUAAUCAAAACCAAAUUAAACACUAUAAUUUCAAAUCUGGAUUACUUAUUUUUCAAUCCUACUUAUCACAUCUGCUUUUGUUAGUGCUGCAUUCGUCCAGAAAGGCUCGUGACAUAUCAUUAAGAUGCCAAAGGUACCUGUAGGUCAGUUGUAAAAACAAAAGAUUCCCAAAAUCUUUUGACAUAUCAUCAUUUCAUUAAAAAGACUGAUAAAGAAAAAACCUAAAUCGUUGUAUGUGGCACUGGAUGUUUUUGAAGAAAAUAUUGGAUGAAAUCAUGCCCAAGGAAGAAAAUUCAUACUCAGUCCAAUAAUUGAAGGUCUAUAUCCAUCCAGAAUUUUCAUGAAAAAAUUUUAUGAUGAUGCAUGUGUUUUACUGGAGUUAUGUACAUUUCUGUGUGCAUUUCUUUAUGUUUGGAAGGGUAAUUAUUAUAUUUAAAUAUUAGUGAAAAGUAUGGUGAUAGAAUUAAUUUUGAUGAGAUUAAAAAUAAUAUUAAAAAUUAUUAUAAUUGUGAUAAAAAAAUUUAAUAAAAGUUUUAUGUAAAAUAAAUUUUAUUAAAAUUAAAAUUUAUAUUUAAUUGAAAAUGUGAAAAUUUUAAUUACUUAUAAAAUUCAAAAUCUAGCUUAGAUAAUUUGAUUGCAAAUGUUACUAUUAGCAGUCCAGAGUUUUCCUUUUCUUAUUCAUUUUGUGGCCGCAUGAUUUCCACAUCCUAUAUAUAUAUAUAUAUAUAUAUAUAUAUAUAUAUAUAUUUAGUUUAAGAUCUUUCAAUUAUUUUAAGUUUCGAUUAAUCUAAAAUCGAAUCAAAUCUAAUUUCAUAAAGAGACAAAUUCUCUUAAGCUUGUUUUUAUUUUUUUUACAAAAUUUAAAAUCAAAACCUUAUUUAAAAAAAAAACUAAACUCUUUACCGUUAAAACCAACAAACAUUAGUAUCACAUCCUAUUGUUUAACGAUUGAAAUUUGAAAGUUUAAUUAUUAAUUAGAAUUAUUUUGAAAAAAAUUCCAAGAAUAUGUGGUUUUGUGUGGAUGCUAAAAUUCAUGAUUUGAUUGUAUUUUUACUGUUAUUUUUAAUAUUAUCGAAAUUAAUUUUAUUAUCCUAAUAAAUGAACCCUUAAUCAAAAGCAUAAAAAAAAAAGUUAUUGAAACUAAGCUUCAAUUGAUAGCCCAACACAAGCAACAAGUUUGGUUUUUUUUUUUUUUUUUGACUGUUUGAUAAUUUAAAAAAAAUACUAAAAAUGUCUAAACGUGAAAUAAUGUAAUCAAAACAGUAAUUAAAUUAAUUUGUUUUAGAAAAACUAAAUUCUCAUUAAUAAAUCUUUUAGAAAAACACAAAUUUCUUUCCAAUGUAAAUUAAUGCGCUAAAAGUACUUUAUAAUAAAAAAUAAAGAGAAAUAAAUAAACAAAUAAAGAAUAUGAAUAUUUAAAUUGAACAUCAACAUUAUCAGAGUUUUAAUAAUUGAAUAUGUGUCAACACUAAAAUACUUGGGAUGCUCUUCACCACUCGUAGCCUUUUCCAAAACCAGAUAAAAAUCAAAUUAAUGUACUAAGCCACGCAAUAAGAAUUAAUGUUAAUGAUUGAACUCAAAAAAAAAAAAAAAAAGCACAAACCUCAGCCAUAUAUUGCCUUCAAAACCAUUUUUAUAAGAGAUUUUGUUUAUAAAUAAUAUUAUUUAUUUUAUUCAAAAAUACUAAAAUUUAAUACAUGAAUUUUCGUAAUAUUCGGCUUCCCAUGCCACCUUAGCUCUCUAUAAAUACCAAUGCAAGAAAUCCUCUUGAAGCACCAAAGUGCAGUAAACCAGCACCUUCAUACCUGUUGUACUCAAAAUUUUAUUUCGGUAUCCUUUAAAACAGUUUCCAAAAAUGUCUAUUGAUGAAGUUUCAGCAUCAACUCUUUCUGCUCCAAUCCAAAAUGCUGAACUGCCUGAAAUCAAUCGUCGGUCGGCAGGUUAUCAUCCCAGCAUCUGGGGUGACCAUUUUCUCUCAUAUGCCUCAAACAUUAAUAAGGUAAUUGUAAUAAUUAGUUUAACAUUUGGAUUCUGCUUAAUUACAUAUAAAUAGACUUUGAUAAUUCAUAUAUUAGUACAUGCAAAACACCGAUAAUUUGUAUAUUUAUGUUUUAGAUAAAAAUUAUGUCAAAAUUCGUAUUGAUAUGAAAAAUACAAAAUAUAUUUUUUUUGUUUUUGUUAAAUUAUAUAUUAUUUUUUUCAAAAUUUUAAACUGUCACCUCUGUAUCUUUUUUUUUUCAUGUUAUUGUAUUGUAUUUUGAAUUGAAAGGUCUACGUACAUUUCAAAAAAGUACUUCAUAAGUUCCAACGUGUUUCUUGGGGGGGGUAUUAAUUUGAUUAUUUUCUUAUCUAGGAGGAAGAUUAUGAUAGGGAGGAAGAGCAUCAGAAGCUGAAAAAUGAAUUACAGAAGAUGCUAAUGGCUGAGGUUGAUAAACCUUCGGAAAAGCUUAAGUUGAUUGAUGCAAUCCAACGCCUAGGAGUUUCUUAUCAUUUUGAAAAAGAGAUUGAACAAGUCCUGCAGUUGGUCUACAAUGGUUGUGAUAUUGGGGCCAAUGAUGGGAACCUUUAUACCAUUUCUCUCAAAUUUCGCCUGCUUCGACAAAAUGGCUAUAAAAUGUCAUGUGGUAUUAAACUGAUCUUAGUACCUGCUUUUCUAUAUUUAUGGACAGAACUUGACGAUAUUUGUGAACCAAUUUAAUUUAGGCUUAUUUUCAACUUUGUGUGGGGAUAAAAACAGACAAGAGUUUGGAAAACUUUAUACAAAAAAUGGCUUGAUUCAUUCAAUUUUCAUGUGAUUAGAGAUUUUUAGUUUAUUUAACAUUACGGACUAAAACCAUCUGAUGUUUAUGUAUGGUGAAAGCAGAAGCCUUUAACAAAUUCAAAGACAGUGAAGGAAAGUUGAAGGAAUCCCUUAUCAAUGAUGUUCAAGGAAUGUUAGGCUUGUAUGAGGCCACACAUCUAAGGGUGCAUGGGGAAGACAUCCUGGAUGAAGCUCUUGCUUUCACUACUACUCACCUUGAGACCAUGGCUACCAGCUGCUUGAACUCUUCUCUUGCAGCACAAAUAAGUCAUGCUUUAAAGCAACCUAUCCACAAAGGUUUGCCAAGGCUUGAGGCCAGGCAGUACAUGCCUAUCUAUCAAGAAGACCCUUCUCAUAAUGAAGCUGUAUUAACCUUUGCAAAGUUAGAUUUCAAUAUGCUGCAGAUGAUGCACCAGAAAGAACUUAGUGAAAUCGCAAAGUAAGCUUUCAAGUCCCCCUUACUUGAUGCCUCGCAAUUGCUAGCUAUAGAUAUAUAUAUGACAGCUGAGGAUUAUAGUUUGCCCCAGCUAUCAAUUGGGAUUUUCCUCCAUAUUAGAUUUCGUUUAUAUAAGUGAUGCACUUCAAUUAUGGUAUUCAGGUGGUGGAAAGACUUGGAUUUCUUGAGGAAACUACCUUUUAUCAGAGAUCGAGUGAUAGAGUGCUACUUUUGGAUAUUGGGAGUGUACUUUGAGCCCGAAUAUCGGUUGGCUAGAAGGAUAUUAACCAAAGUGAUUGCCUUGACUUCAGUUAUUGAUGACAUCUAUGAUGUGUAUGGCACUCUUGAAGAACUUGUUCUCUUUACUAAAGCAGUUGAGAGGUCUGAUUUCCUUUUUUUUUUUUUUUUUUGCAAUUCCUCACUCAAGUCUAUCCUUCAAAGUUCAUAGUAAUUGUUUCUUUUCCAUAAGAUGAAUUAAAUUAAAGUUUUGAUCAACAAAUUUUUUAGGUGGGAUAUAUCUGAAAAAGAUCACCUUCCGGAGUACAUGCAAAUUUGUUAUCAGGCAUUGCUAGAUGUUUACAAAGAAAUUGAAGAGAAAAUGACAGAACAAGGAAAAUUAUACCGCCUUGAUUAUGCAAAAGAAGCUGUAAGCUAAUUAGCUGAAUUUAGAUUUCACUGCACAUAAUAACUAUUCCUCUUGAUUCAACUGAUUAUUUUGUUUUUGGUUGCUCAGAUGAAAAAUCAAGUUAGAGCAUACUGUGUUGAAGCUGAAUGGUUCCAUAACCACCAUGUACCGACAAUGGAGGAGUACAUGCCAGUAGCAUUAGUCACCUGUGGCUAUUCAAUGCUUGCAACCACAUCUUUUGUUGGAAUGGGAGAUGUUGCAACUGAAGAAGCUUUCGCAUGGUUGUUUAGUGAACCCAAGAUAGCUACUGGCGCUUCCAUUGUCAACAGACUCAUGGAUGACAUUGUGUCCCACAAGGUACAAACUUCACUAUUUUCAAUUUCUUGAAUGAUCAAUUGCCUUAAAAACCAAAAUUCCGGGGUGGUCUAUACUUAUAUUAGCCAUUGAUUUUGAUGAUUUGGCUGAAGCAGUUUGAGCAAAAGAGAGGACAUGUAGCUUCAGCAAUUGAAUGUUACAUGAAACAGCAUGGUGCUACUGAACAAGAAGCUGUCAAGGAAUUUCGCCAACAAAUUACUGAUGCAUGGAAAGAUAUAAACGAAGAAUGUCUCUAUCCAACCAUUGUCCCCAUGUCACUCCUGACUCGGAUUCUCAAUCUUGCUCGUGCAAUGGAUGUUAUAUACAAGACCGAAGAUGGUUAUGUUCAUGCUGGAGUGAUGCUUAAAGACUUUGUAGCUUCUAUGCUCAUUGAUCCUGUUCCUUUUUGAGCAUUUAGUCGAUCUUUCACAAACUAGCUACUGCGUCAGUCACGCAUAAAACCAAGUUAUCAAUAAUAUAUGCUCAUGCUAAAGAAAUCUCUCUAUCGAAAAAUAAAUUUUCCAAGAUUUUGGAUAUUCUUCAUUAAGAUAAUAUUUUCCAUGUAUAUAUGUUCAUAUCCUAUAUGAGUAAUUGUGUAUGUUCAUUUUUCAAUAAUCAGGUGAACUUUGUAGUUUGGUUUUUAGUUUUGGAAAUGCGUAGUAAUCCAUUAAUUAGUAUUCACAAAAGCAUUGACAUUCAAUUUUUGAUAUUUAAGCCAUCGGGAUUUUGAUUUAGUGUUAAAGAGGAAACGGUGAAAUCUUAAAAUUUCAUAUUUAAAUUGGCCCUGGGUUUAAAGCUCAAAAAAUUGUCAACUGAAUAAUUUUAUUUGUUUCUAGAUAUGCAAGCUUCAUUUAAGGGCUUAAUAGAAACUUUUUAGGCAAGUAAAGAACGAGUGAAUGAAGUUGGUUUUGAUACGAUAAAAUUAAAGCAGUGUUUGGUAUCAUUUUUUUAAAUUACCACAGCAAUGUAAUUAUCAUGGUGAUAAUAUCACCUAGAUAAUUUAACUACUAAUGAUCUUAGAUUAUUAUAUUUGGUAUAAUAUUAUAAAUCAUUAGUAUUUUCAAAUCACUGUAUUUGAUAUUAUAUAAAAAAAUAAAUCAUACAGUACAAAACAUCCAAAAUAACCUUUAAAAAAUAUUUAAUAUUUAGUAAAUCAAUAGUUUAUAAAAUAGUUAAACAUUAUUUUAUAAACAAAACUAAAAAAUAUAAAUCAAUUUUGAUAAAAAUAAGUUCUAAAAAAUUAUUAAAUAAAUCUAUUAUCUAUUUUUAGUCAAUAUAAAUUUAUAACAUAAAACUCUUUUAGAAUAGAUGAUUAAAAAACCAAUAUUUAAAAUUUUUAAUGACCAGCAUUUUAGGGUAAUGUUAAUUAUAUUUUUCAUGAGGAUAAAUUAGUUAGAAAAAUAAUAUUAAAAAUUACUUUCUCAUAGUGAUAAAACUUUCACAUCAUUUAGGUAGAGAAUGAGAUCACUCAUUAGGCAAUAAUCUGAUCACUCUAAUGAUAAAAUUACUAUUAUAUAAAAUUUUUCAAUUGCUACCAAAUAAGUUGAUGCAAGUGUAAAUCACUAUAACUUUUAAAUAAAUCACCUUAUACCAAAUACUCUCUAAAUGAAUUGAAAAACUUGGUUGGAAUAUUAAAAUAGUGGUAUUGAUCAGGUGGCACUACCUGGCUACUGGUUUAUAAAGUUAAAAUCUUCUUCCUUUGUGUUAUAUUUUUCCUCUUUUCCCUUAAUUUCUAGAGGCCAUUUGGUUCAGUAGGUUACAACAUGAUGUUAGCUACUUAGUUCAAAUUUGUUAAUCAGAAUUUAAUUAUUGUGAGAAGUAUUUCAAAAAUAAAAUUUUAAAUUAACGUAUCAAAUGGAUAUGGGUCAGGAAUUAUUCCUAGAGAAAGGAGGAUUGAUCGUCUUAUAAAAAAAGUAGUGGCAAAAUAUAUUGUUCAUACAAGAUUAGCUCCAAAACUUUCCUUGUUGCAAUGUUUAUUUGGAAUUUCUUGUUGAUGUAGUUUGAGCAAAAGAAAAGGCAUGUUGCCAUGGCAGUUGAAUGCUGCAUAAAACAGUUUGGAGCGUCAAAGCAAGAGGCAUACAAUGAGUGACCUUAAUUGCAUUCUCAAUCUUGCACGAGUAAUUGAUCUCCUUUAUAAGGAUGAUGAUGAUGAGUAUACGCAUUUUGGGGAAGCAGCAAAAACUGGCAUUGCUUCUUUGUUGAUUGACCUAAUCCCAACUUAAGAUGUUUAAUGAAAGAUAUGACGUUGAAUAAUAAAAUUGGAGUUACAUCUUAAGGAAAUUAAUAGAGUAACCUAAGUGGUAAUGGUGGAGUUAGAUAUGAGUAAAGAUUUUAAGUUUGAGCAGCCCUCUACACCCGCGGUCCCGCCGAUCUUGGCUUCCCAUCCCAUGUGCAGACCCCUCAACACGAAACUUAAGCACCUUGCUCCUAGGACAAGAUCACUACUAGAUCCCUCUCUUGGAAUUAAACUCAGAAAACCCCUAUCCAAUGUCUAUGGGUAGGGAUGGUGAUAGAUAAUAAAUAAAUAUAUAUUUUUUAUUAUUUGAUUUGAUUAUGUUAAAUUUAGAUAGUUAAAAAUUAAUAAUUAAUGGAUUUAGAUAAUAGUUUUUAGAUAUUCAAUAUAUGAAUUUAUUUAAGUUUGAAUAAUAAUAAAUAUCUGAAUUUGGAUUCAUUAUCUAGUUACAUAUAUAAAAUAUAUAAAAUUUUGAAUCUAAAAAAAUAAAUUUUUUUAUUAUUAAUUAAGAGUAAAUUUAAAUUUAAAUUUAAAUUUUAUUUAUUUUAUAUUUUAAUAAAAAUUUUAAAUAAAUAAAUAUUUGAAUAUAUUCAAAUAUUUAAAUGGAUAAUAUUUAUUUAAAUAAAUUUGAAGUUAGAUAAUAAUAUUAAAUUUAAAUAAAUAUUUAAAUAAAUUUAAAUAUUAUAAAUAUUAAAUAAAUUCAAAACGAAUAUAUCAAAAAUAGCAAAUAUCUCUUUCAUUAUCGUUCCUAUAUCUGUGGAUUUGACCACCACUCAUAUUCACUGAUAGCCAUGCAUCCUUGACUUGCUUUAACCCAAAACAGUGGCCUCAGCUUUGUUAGAAAGAAUACUUCCACUCCAUCCCAUCCCUUUCCUUCGAAAACCGACUUAUUUCUACCCAACGAUAAUGCCAAAAAUGUGGCAGCACACCGAUAGCCACGUUUUUAUAAUCAGGCCAUGAACCGUUUCACACUUGGCACGCAUGGUCUUUCCAUUAUUCGAAGAGCCUACCAGGACCGCACCUUGGGAAGACCCAGAACCAAAAGUCCAUGCUGUAAAAGACAUGCAGCCGUCACUAUUUUUCUCUUUGAUUUUAACAUUGGAUAAUAGAAAAUAUGUAGCUAGGGUAAACUUUUAUUGUAGUUAGAGAUGGCAAACGGAAGAUGUGGUUUAUAUGGGGAUCCUAUUAUUUCCGGUUUGGGUUGAUUAGAUUUAAAGAUUUUGAUUUGAAUUAAUUUGAAUUAUUUUAAAUUUUGUGUAAGAUAUAAUUAUUUUAGUAUAUUUUUUAAUUUCAAAUCAAAUUUAGAGUUCAAAUUCUUUAAGAUCAAAUUAUUUAGAUUGAAAAUUAAAAUUUUAGAUACGUGAAGAUCUUAAUUUGAGCAUUUUUACUUUUGUGUUAAAUCAAGUUUGGUUAGAAUUUAGGGCGUUCGAGCUUUUUUCAGAUAAAUUUUUAGGUCUUAAUCCAUUUUACAAUAUCUUAUUGUAGAUUAAGUAUAAGUAGAUAUUUUAGAUUAACGGAGAUGGUAGGUCACUGCUCUCAGAAUAUGAUAUUGUGUAUGUGACACAAAAAAUUAUAAAAGGAGUGCAAUUGCUGAUUUUCUACUGAUUGAACUUCAGAAGAUUAGAACCUAUGAAGUUUUGAGUUUCCAGAUGAAGAUUUGAUGGGUAAUCUUGCAGGAUGAGAUAUAGAGCCUGUAGAGAGGAAGUAUGGAAAAUGUUUUCGAUGGAGCAAUCCAAUAUAAUGGGGCAUGGCAUUGAGAACAGUACUAAUAUCCCCAGAAGAAAAUUAUUACCCAUGUACCGAAUAUUAGAUUUUAAUUGGCACAAAACAAUGUCGAUGAAUAUGGGCAUGUGUCAUGGGGUUACAGAUGGCCAUUGAAAAGAAAUUGAAACACUAGAAGUAUAUGAGGAUUCAGCCUUGGAUAAUUUAUCAACUAAAAGGUCGUGAAUGGGAGGACUAGAGACUCGAAACUAGUGUUAUACCAAAGGCACAUAGCUGGCUUGAGGAAACAUUUUAAAGAGAUUCAAUUUCAGCAUGUUCCUCGAGAAGAAAACCAAAUUACUGAUGCCUUGGCUACUUUGGCAGCAAUGUUUAAGUUAAAUAAUAGUAUGGGAAUCCAGCCCAUUAGAGUACAAGUGAAAGUUUCACCAACCCACUGUUCAAAUGUGGAAGAAGAGGUAGAUCGACAACCAUGGUACUAUGACAUUGUGCAAUAUAUCAAGUGUCAAAACUAUCCAGAACAGGCUUUAAAAAAUUAUGAGAGGAUCAUUCAAAGAUUAGCAAUAGGUUUUGUGCUUGACGGAGAAAUUCUGUAUAAAAAAAGUCGAGAUCAGAUUUUGCUAAGGUGCGUCGAUGCUGUGGAAGCGAGAAUGAUACUUGAAGAAGUACACGAAGGAAUUUAUGGAACACAUGCUAAUGGGCAUAUGAUGGCUAAACAGAUCAUGAGAGCUGGUUACUACUGGUUUACAAUGGAAAAUGAUUGCAUCAGUUAUGCCAGAAAAUGCCAUAAAUGCUAAAUUUAUGCAGAUAAAAUUCAUUCUCCUCCAGUCUCGCUGCACGUCUUGGCACCACUAUGGCCUUUCUCCAUGUAGGGAAUGGAUGUGAUCGGACCCAUAACCCCUAAAGCUUCAAAUGGGCAUCGAUUUAUCUUUGUGGUAAUCGAUUAUUUUACAAAAUAAGUGAAAGUAGCUUCGUAUGCUUGUAUUAUGCGAUCAGUGGUGUGUAGAUUUAUAAAAGAGAGAUAAUAUGUCGGUAUGGUCUCCCAGAAAGGAUUAUCUCAGAUAAUGCUAGCAAUUUAAAUAAUAAAAUGAUGAAAGAAUUAUGUGCACAGUUCAAGAUCAAGCAUCAUCAUUCAGCACCAUAUCGUCCAAAAAUGAAUGGUGCAGUGGAAGCUGCGAAUAAGAACAUCAAGAGAAUAUUGGGGAAAAUGACUGACACAUAUAAGGAUUGGCAUGAAAAGUUACCUUUUGCUUUGCUUGCCUAUAGAACAUCAAUCCGAACCUCCACAGGGGCCACCUCGUUUUCACUAGUGUAUGGGAUGGAAGCUGUACUGCCAAUUGAAGUGGAAAUUCCUUCUCUGAGGGUGUUGAUGGAGAUAAAAUUGGAUGAGGUAGAAUGGGUUCAAGAUCAUUUCGAGCAACUGAAUCUUAUUGAAGAGAAAAGGCUCUCAGCACUCAGUUAUGGACAAAUGUAUCAAAAAGAAUCAUGCGAGAACAUGACAAAAGGAUACGAUCCCGAUGCUUUCAUGAGGACGAAUUGGUUUUGAAAAGGAUUUUGCCAUAUCAACAUGACAAUAGAAGAAAAUAGACCCCCAACUGGGAAGGUCCAUAUGUGGUAAAAAAAAACUUUUUUUGGUAGGGCUCUGAUCCUUACAGAAAUGGACGGAGAUGAAUUGCCAAGUCCUAUAAAUUCAGACAUUGUCAAGAAAUAUUUUGCUUAAAAAAAAAGCAAAAAUAUAUAAAAAAACAACAAAAAAACAAUAAAAAUGAAAAAAAUGGAAAAAAUGAAAAAAAAUAAGAAAAGAAGUGAUUCAGAUUGAAAACCCGAAAAGGACGGUUUGAGUCAAAAGGGGGUCAUUUAAGCUAAAAACCUAUAAAGAUGGCUUGAAUGAAGGUGGAACUCGAAGAAAGUUUUUUCUAAAGAACAAAUGAGUGGCACCAAAUGAACGAAUUGUCACCAGAAUUAAAAGAUAUGACUUUUAGGGGGCAAGUAGUUCUCAUUAGUCACAGAUGUGGGAUAAAGAUUGGUAAUAUGAAAUCACAGGUGACAAGAUCGUAAAUGUAUCGAAUUUUUGGGAAAAGACCUGGUCUGAGUAGGCCGAAGUCGUCCAAAUGUUCAUUAUUUAGAGAAUUGAUAUUUGAUUUUUGAAAUACUUUUGAAUCAAUUAUUCUUUAUGUCUCGAAAAGCUUAUCUUUCUAAACCUGAAAUAUCUUAUUACUGAUAAUAUUGCACACCCAACUUUGAACCUGAAAUCAUUGCAUUUGUCAUUGAAAAUUAAGAUAUUGAUUAAUAAAGUUCAUAAUAGACCAAUGUAUCACUCGAAAAGAGAAUGCAAUAUGAGGAUGACAAAAAUAGCAACAUGGGGCAGAAAGAAUGAAAAGAAAUCGAUUGAUUACUAAGGAUAAAGAGGAAAAAAGGGAUAAAAAAGAAAGAGAUUUUAGAGCGACUAAAAGCCAGAUGGGUCCGUCAUGAGACAGAGAUUUCUGGUCAAAAAUUGAAAGAGUCAAAAGGACGAGAUUACUAAAAGCGACUUUUAAAGUUUGAAAGAAUUGAACCAAAAGUUGAAUUAACUUGGAUGAAAUGCAUGAUAUAAUUCGUUGACGGCGUCUUUGUCUUUUCAUUCAUCACAAUCAUUGCAUGCAUUACAUGCCUCUCGAUAAGUUGCAUAGAAGGUUUUUUUAUGAGAUAUCAGGAAGAAUCAACAUUUUUUUUUCUCGAAACAAAAAUGAUGGCCUUGAAGAUGGUAUGUUAGCAUAAUUUUUAAAAUUGAAACUAUUGGUCUAUGAAGUACCCAAUCUCUUAUUUCUUAACUCACAGCUCAGUCUUAUAUAGUUCUUCGACUUGCGGUUCAAUCUCAGUCAUCUUAAUCUUUGGCUCGCGAUUUAAUCUCGAUCAUUUCAUUAUUUCUCUGACUUGCGAUUCAGUCUCAAUCAUCCUUAAUCUUUGACUCGCGAUUUAAUCUGUGUCAUUUCAUUAAUUCUCUGACUUGUGGUUCAUUCCCAAUUGUCUUUAAUCUUUGACUCGUGGUUUAAUCCCGGUCAUUUUAUUCUCUGACUUGCGGUUCAAUCCUAGUCAUCUUUAAUCUUUGACUCGUGAUUUAAUCCCGAUCAUUUCAUUAAUUUCCUGACUUACGGUUCAGUUUCAGUCAUCUUUAUCUUUUGGCUCAUGGUUUAAUCCCGAUCAUUUCAUUAAUUUCCUGACUUGCGAUUCAGUCCCAGUCAUCUUUAUCUUUUGGCUCGUGGUUUAAUCCGGGUUAUUUAAUUAUUUCUCUGACUUGCAGUUCAAUCUCAGUCAUCUUUAAUCUUUGACUCGUGGUUUAAUCUCAGUCAUUUCAUUAUUUCUCUGACUUACGGUUCAAUCCCAGUCAUCUUUAAUCUUUGACUCAUGGUUUAAUCUCGAUCAUUUCAUUAAUUUCCUGACUUGCGGUUUAGUCCCAGUCAUCUUUAAUCUUUGACUCGCGGUUUAAUCCCGAUCAUUUCAUUAAUUCUCUGACUUGUGGUUCAUUCCCAAUCGUCUUUAAUCUUUGACUCGUGGUUUAAUCCCGAUUAUUUCAUUCUCUGACUUGCAGUUUAAUCCCAGUCAUCUUUAAUCUUUGACUCGUGGUUUAAUCCUGGUCAUUUCAUUCUCUGACUUGCGGUUCAAUCCCAGUCAUCUUUAAUCUUUGACUCGUGGUUUAAUCUCGAUCAUUUCAUUAAUUUCCUGACUUACGGUUUAGUCCCAGUCAUCUUUAAUCUUUGGCUCGUGGUUUAAUCUCGAUCAUUUCAUUAAUUCCCUCGACUUACGGUUCAGUCCCAGUCAUCGUUAAUAUUUGAUUCGUGGUUUAAUCCCGAUCUUCUUAUUCUUCGAUUCGUGGUUCAAUCCCGAUCUCUUUAAUUUAAAAUCGUAGUUUAAUCUCGAUUGUUGUUGUUAUCUUCUGACUCGUGGUUUAAUCCCAGUCUCCUCAUUUUUGACUUGUGAUUCAAUCCAAGUUCAAUCCUGAUCUUGUUAUUCCUUGACUCGUAGUGUCGUCCCGAUCACUUUCUUUAUUAUUCGACUUUCAGUGUUGCCUUAAUCGAUUCUUUGUUUGUCAACACACAAUGUCAUUUUCUUUAUCACUUGACCUAACCUAAAAAAAAAAAUCUAUUUGGAUUCUGGACAAAAUUGUUAUCUUUGUCUUUGCUCUAUUACUGAUUAUCAGUAAUGUGCAAAGAGGGACAGCUGUGGACAUCAAUUUUUGUCCCAAAAUAAAAUAAAAUAAAAACAAUAAUAUUACAAAAUACGAAAUACAAAAAAAAUACCAAAAAUAAUACAAAAUACAAAACAAAAAUACAAAAUAAAAAAAUACAAAAAAAAGAAUAGAAGAUAAAAAAAAUCAAGGAUGGCAGUGGUGCCGUCUCCGGCACCACUGCCACCAGACCCUACCCUCCACCCCUCUAAUUACUCCUUCCGUUGACAAACGUCAAAUAAGACAGAAAUGAAUAAAAAAGGCAUGGGGCUCGUGUUUACAUCCCGUGAUCGAGCUCCAUGCCCUUCCCUCCAAACGCAUAUGGCUGGAGCUCUAUAAAUAGAGCUCCUAGCGAAGCUAAAACAGAUAGAGAAGAAGGAGGGGGAGAUUCUAUCAAAAACAAAAAAAAACCACAAAAAAAAUCAAACAGUCCUCCCCACAGAGAGGAACCCAGCGCCGAAAGCCCCUGCACAAAGAAAAAUCAAAGUCAGUUUCAAAAAAAAAAAGAUCUGACCGAAACUUCACUAGUAGAUCUAAGGAAGUGGGGACACUUUUUGGUGAAAAAGACCUUAGAUCUGAACUCAGUAGGUCGAGGGAAACAUUUUGGUAUUUUCUGAGAAUUUUUUGACCACCGUCAACGGUGGUCGGUGAUCGAUGAACGGCGACAGCAGCGGUGGAGGAUCGGUCGGCCACUGCGUUUGGCCGGAGAGAGAAAAAAAUGAGAGAAAAGAAGCUUUUUUUUUUAAGAAUGAAAAGAAUGAAGGAAAAAAUUUUUUAACUUUUAUAUAAACUGUCAAUAGCCAAAACGACGUCGUUUCAAUAAAAGCCCAAAACGACGUCGUUUAGGCCAAAGAGGAUCCGCGCGUUGACUCGGACCCGACCCGGGGUCCAUGCCAACCGACCCGCUAACCCGACUUCUCAGCGGCUCUGAAUCGGUUUGAUCAGACCGGAUCGAACCGCUCCCCAGGAUCGGCUUGAACCACAGCUCAGUCGGCUCAAUUGAACCAUCGCUGAACCGAACCUUUUUUGGUCCAACCGAACCUCCGUUGAUCGGAUGGUUGACUGGUCCGGUUCAGGUAAAAAUUUUUUUUUCAUUUUUUUAAAUUUUCUAAUUUUUUAUAUAAUAUUAUUUUUGUUAUUUUAAGUAUUUUUUUAUAUAUUUAUGCGUGAUAAGUUUUAAAUUUGUUAGGAUAAGUUUUUUUUUUAAUUGUUUUAAUAAUAAUAAAAUGAAAGUAAGUAAGAUAAUAAUUAAAAUAUAUAUUAAAAAUGUUUAAGAUAAUAAUAAUAAUAAUAAUAGAAUAAUAAUUAUUAUUUUCCCUGCCUAGAUGUUGGAGGGAAUAAAAAAAAAAUUUCUUAAAGAAAUAAUUUCGCCUAGAUGUUGGGAAAUUAUUAUUAAUAAAUUUUCAUAAAAAGAAAAAUAAGAAAUUUUUUAAUUAAUUUUUAAAAAUCAUUAAAGUCGAACUUGCUUCGAAAAUCCAUCUAAAUGUUGGAAAUUUUUAGAGAUGUUCAUAUUUUCUUAAAAAAUGAAACCCCUAAAAAUCUAAAAUCUCUUAAAUUCAAACCCCCUAAAAACCAAAACCCCCAAAUCGAAAUCUCAAAUUUUAAACUCUUAAUCGAAAUCCCUAAAAAUUCAAUCCUUAAAUUAAACCCCAACUCAAAUUUUAAAAUCAAAAAAAUCAUCAAACUCUUAAAAUCAAAACCCUAAAUCUUCCAUUCUAAAAUUCAGCUUAAAACCUCUAACCUUAAACUAAAUCUUCAAAACCAUCUAUCAAGCCUUAUAAAACUCCAAAAUCUUAAGGACACAUUUAAAUUCUAUUUGAAGCAAUUUGUUCCCGAAUGCCGUCUAGAUGAUGAGGUAUUUAGGAAAUUUUACUUCGUUAAGUCUUUUCACACAAUUUCUUAAUUCGCAUUAAUAAUAAGAUUAAUGAAUAAAAAGUAUAAUAAUAAAAUUAGGAUCUUAAAUAUAAACAGUCACACCUAAGCUCUGCUUUGAUGUUGGAAAGUCGGGUGGUCUCAUUAUACUUAAGAAUCCAACUCUUAAAUUGUUUUUCAUUGUAAAUGACAUUCAUUAGCAUACAUACGUUAGCAUGUUAUCAUCGAUAAUUGAUUGCAUUAUUCUCUCUUUAAUUUACUGUUCGAUGAUAAAAUAUUUUAUAGUAAAAAAAAAGAAUAAUACUUAAAAAAAAUCUUUUUGUGAUAUUAUAAAAUAAAUUAAAAAUAACAUUCUGAAAGAAAUAAUUCUUAGUACUCUGCCUAGACGUUGGAGAGUCACUAACAAUUAGUUUCUAUAAAGAUUAUUAUUUCAUUUUAAGUAUUAUUGUGUUCAAUCUUAGGUGAAAAGAGUUAUUUUUAAAUUAUGCCUAGAUGAUGGAGAAUUUUAAGAUAAUUCUUUAACUUAAAGAUUUUCUCAAUAGUUCUAAAUAAAUAUUUUAGCAAAAUUUUAUUUUUUUCAAAUGAAGGGAAUUAGUGUUAAAUUUCAAAUUAAAAUCAUUUUUAUCUAACACCGAAAAUAGUGUAUAAUUAAAUGGUACCAAUUUAUGGGUGUUGCUGGGGUGCUAAUCCUUCCUCACGUGUAACCAACUCCCGGACCCAACCUAGUUUUUCAUAGAUCAAAAUUUAUCUUUUUGAUAAACUUUAAACCCGAUUUUAUAGUUUUAUUAAAAGGAUAAACUUUUGGGUGGCUAAUCAUACCCUAACAAAGAUUGGUGGUGAAUCCUCUUUUAUUUUUUUUGAUUUUAAAACUCAUUUUACGUCUGACGGUCAAAAAAUCAUUACGACAAAUUCAAACGGUUAUAAACCAAAUCUCCUGAAGAAAGUCUUCUCAAAUUUUUGCAAAUCUAGUUUCAACUGAUCUUGAUGAUACCAUGUCUAAUGAAAAGCGUCAUUUGGCUAAUUUUAGGCCUCACUUUUGAGGGAACAUUUUCCUCUCCUGUCCUGAAAUGGUAUGUAUGAAAACCUCUUUCAGUGUACGUUUUUGUGUAAGAUCAUAUUAAUUUUUACAGCCUUCUAAUUUUCCACAUUUAUAUCAUCAAAUUAAUUAACUAAUUGUCAUACUGUUGGCAAAAUGAGUUUCUUUCUAAUUUCUACUGCUUCUUCUUUCUUUUCUUAUUAUUUAGAGUUCUUUUUUAUAUACUAACAGUAAAUUAUUUUAAUUUUACAAGUGAGGAUAAAUUUUUUUAUAUAUUUCACUUAUUUUUUAUUUUUUACUAUACAUUAAGAGAUAUGUGUUAUUACAUUAAUUUGAAAAUUUAAAACUUCACUCUCGUCUCUUUUUUAGUCAAAGGAGGCUGUACCUGAAUAACUAUGUGUAGACACCUAAUUUGGUCUAGGCCUAGAUCAAUUAGGCCUGGUUCGAUAGGGUCAAUAAUUUAUUAAUUUUUUUAUUAUUUCAUAUUUAAUUUUUUUAUUUUAUUAUCAUUUUGAAAUUUAUAUUGAUUAUUUAUUUAUUUAUUAUUAUUAUUAUUAUUUUAGGAGAUAAUGAUGGUGAAAAAACAAACAGCAAGGAAUCUUACCAUGAAUGGGGCAAGAUAGAAUCAUAAUUGGACUUAAUACUUAUAGGAUAAGUCUAAUGGUUUUAUGAUAAUAUAGAAUUCUGAUCAAGGGAGGACUUAGAAUCGAUUAGAAACUCUUCUGAUCACAACUUAUAAAUACCUACAUUGAUCAGAGGCAAAAGACACAGAAAAAACACAUAAAAAUAGAAAUAAAAAAAAUCACAAGUAGAAAGCAAUCAAAAAGUUUUUCAAAAAUUUUUUGGUUUAGGGGAAAAAAGGAAAUUUUUUUGAAAAAUCUAAAAAAUUCUCAGAUUUGAUGAAAUUUUUCAAUUUUCGGUGAAUUUUUCAGUGCCGAUUAAAUUUUUUGAAGACUUUUUCGGCGCAGGUGAAAUUUUUUGGUAGGGUUUUCAAAAUUUGGUGAAGAUUCCGGUGAAGUUUGAAUUUUUUGACAAUCGUCUGGCGAACUAACCUAGAUUUUGAUGGUAUUUUCCAGAAUCCGGUUGAUAUUCAACUAGAGAUUCAACCAGGUUAGAGAGAAAUGGGAAGAAAAGAAAAGGAAAGUGAAAUAUGAGGAAAAAGGUUGGAGCUACUUUUUAUACAAUGCCCAAAAUGACAUCGUUUUUACCUUAAGAAGACCCCAUGAUCUGUGUGUUUUUAUUCAGAUAAUCUGACCCGACCAUAACCCGCUUCGCUAACCCGUGCCUAAACCUAGCCAAAUCGAGCUCUUAAGUCGAGUUGCUAAGCCAUUUCGUUUUUCUUUCUGGUUUUUUUUAUGUUAUUAUGUGUUUGUGUUUUAGUAUUUUUUUAUAAUUAAAUUUAGAAAAAUAAAUAAAAAAGGUAAAAGAAUAAAAUAAAUUUUGGGAACAAAUAUUAAUUAUCCAAUGAUGGAAGUUAUAGAAAUUUCAAAUGGUAAAUUUUUAAUAAAAUUCCUAGGUGAGAAAUUUUUUCUAAAUUUGUCAUAAAUGGUGGAAUAAUUUAGAUAAAGUUUUAAUAAUAAUAAUUAAUAUUUAUUUUCAAAACAAAAAAUAAAAAAUAAAAAGAAAAAAUAAAAAAAUAUUGAUAAAAAAUUUGGAAUGAAGUACAAAUUAUCCAAGGAUUAGAUUUUUAGAAAUUUCAAAUAAUAAAUUUCUAAGAAAUCUUUAGGUGAGAAAUUUUCUCUAAAUUUGUCUCAAAUGGUGGAAUAAUUUAGAUGAAAUUUCAAUAAAAGUAAUUGUAUUCUUUUUCAAAUUUGGUUGAAAAUAUUUUAUAAUUAUCCAAUGAUGAGAUUUUUAAAAAUUUCAAAUGGUAAAUUCCUAAGAAAUCUCUAAGUGAAAAAUUUAUUUAACUUUGUCCCAAAUGGUGGAAGAAUUUAAAUGAAAUUUUAAUAAAAAAUAAUUGUCAUAUUAUUUUCUUUUCAAAAAAAAAUAAAUAAAAAGAAUUUCUAAAUAUGCCUAAAUGGUGAAGAAUUUAGAAAUUCAAAACAAAAAAAUAUUUCUAAUUUGGCCUAAAUGGUAGAAUAAUUAGAUAUAUUUUUGAUAAUAAAAUAAUAAAUAAACUUUUUUUGACGACGGAGUCUUUUUAAGAAAUCAAAUGGGAUUCUUGAAUACUCUUGAGGUGAGAAAAUAUUUUUAAGAAUUCUACCAGAUUGAUGAAAAAAUCUUAUAAAUUAUUUUUAAUAUUUAACAUAAAAAUUUGAAACCAUUAGACUCAAGACCCUAGAAUAAAUUUAAAAUAAUAUGGUACCAUCCUUUGGAUGGGCAUAUAGGGGUGCUAUAACCUUUUCCACAUGUAACCGAACUUUUGAACCCUGUUCUGGUUUGUAGACCUAAACCUAUUCUUUUAGGGACCCUUAGUCAAGCUUAGGAGCUCCUUAAAAAGAUAGAUUAAUUAUAUGUCCAAUCACACCUAGUUAAAAAGAAGAUUGGUGGUGACUUUAUUUGUUAAGUCUAGCUAUAGAUUUAUGGAUCUAUAUGUUAUGACAGUUUGGUGACUCUACUAGGGAUGAUACAGAGUCAAGCCAUAAACUUUUAAAUUUAUCCUAUUUUUUGAUCUAAUGGUUUUUAAUUGUAAUUAUCUAUUUACAAACGUUUUCUCUUUUAUUUUUAGGGCAUAAAAUCUAUAUGUUCCUUCACACACACUAUCACUUGCCUUUGCAUUACAUGAGCUUUAUACCCGAGCUUUGUCCCUUUUAGGAGGGAGUAAAGUAUCCAUAUUUGUGUAAGAUGAUAAUAUCUGCAAUAACUAGUGAAAUACUCCCACUCAAAUUGAAUUCUUUCCAUUAGUAGCCUGUGAUGGGUAAGGAUUGGUAUGCCUUACUAGUUUGUGAUGAAUGAUGAUGUAAGAAACAAUUUAGGAACCUUUAGUGGUCAAAAUCACUUAACCUUACAUAUAGUGUACACUUAAGAAGGUAGCCCUAGGAUAGAGCCCUUCCUACCCAAUGAUAGAUAUACCCCAAAACUAGGAUACAAGAAGGCACAAUUUAUGUUUAUCUAACCGUUUUGAUUGUUUGACUUUAUGUAUUUGCAUUAUCAUGUCAUACAUCAUUUUCAUUGUCAUAUAUAACAUUUUGCAUCUACCUCAGAUUCAUAUCAGAUUUUAUUCAUCAAAAUGUACAUUUCAUUCAUGCUUCAACAUACUAAACAUAAAGUAUAUCAUCUUAUUUUUUAUUAUAAUUAUGGUAUCAAGGUUCAAAGAUAGCUCUAUCAGCCAAGAUCACACACAAUCAACUCUCCAGUACAAUAUAAAAGCUUAAGCAAAAUAAAUGGAAUAAGAAAAUUUCAAUCAUCUUGAGAGGAUAAAGAAAGCUCAAGAGAAGCUAAAAGGAGAGUUGAAUAGGAUUUUAGAGGCUUUGAACAAAUUAAACAAAGGGAAAGGUAUAGAAGAAAGUACUAGUCAACAAGACCAUCUAUCACAAAAGGUGGAUGACCCACUGUACCCUCUUAGUUUUAGGUCACAUCAAGCCCAACAAGCACAAGAUCCAUUACCACAGCAGUUCACCUAUCUUGUAAGGUACACAUAUACUGGAAUGUCAGUACAAGGUCCACUACCACAGCAGUUCACUUAUCCUAUAGGGUACACAUACCCUAGAAUGCCAUCAGCUUCAAACCCUGAACAAUAUUAUAGUUAUGUAAAUCAUGUCUUUACAAAAAAGAUAGUAGAACUAGUUUAGGUCCCUAAUUUGGACGAUCCAAAGGAGAACAAAAAGUUAAAAUCAAAAGUGGGUGAGUUACUGAGAAACUUAAAAGCUGACCAAAAGAUUAGUAUGCUAGAAAAGAGUCUACGAGCAGUAGAAGAAAUUAGUUUUUAUGGUUCUAUGAAUGCUGCUAAGGUCUGUUUAGUCUCAGGUGUGGUUAUUCUUUCAAAGUUUAAGGUACCAAAAUUCAAGAAGUAUGAUGAUACAAAGUGUCCAAAGACCCAUAUUACCAUGUACUAUAAAAAAAUGGUAGCCAAUGCUAAUAAUGAAAAACUGUUAAUACAUGUGUUCUAAGACAACCUCACAGGCUUUACUGCUUUGUGGUAUGUUCAGUUGAAUAGGACUUACAUUCAUUCUUAGAGUGAUAUGACCUAUGACUUUAUUAAUCAGUACUGACAUAUUAUAAACUUGGCCUCGGAUCGCUUAUCUUUAUAGAACAUGGAGAAAAAGGUAAAUGAAUCAUUUAAAGAAUAUGCCCAGAGGUGAAGGGACAUAACUUCUCAAGUGCAACCCCUUUUGACUGAAAAAAAGACCAUGGUGUUGUUUAUCAGCAUUUUGAAGUCUCCCUAUUAUGAAAAAAUGAUAAAAAAUGUAAUAAAGAACUUCGUUGAUACGGUGAUCUCAAGUGAAAUUAUUAAAAAUGCCAUUAAAAAUGGCAAGUUGAAAGGAAGAGAAACCAAGAAGAUGCCUAAAAAAAAAGAGACUAAAGCUCAAGUUGUAAGCUUUGGUAGACAAUUCAUGAGAUAUCAAUCCUAUCCAUCACAUGGUUAUUCCCUAUACUAUUCAGCUGUGAAUAAUGCCUUAUCCUACCCAUACCAGCUAGCUCCACAAUAAUCUUAUUCAUCCACAUACUAACCCAUUUUUAGGCCACCAAGCUCCUAUAUACAUCUUUAACAUCCAACCUCUUGUAAGACCCCAAAUUCGUCCUGCUAACUCAACAAGUGAUUCACGAGAGCAACAACAAUUCAAGAAAAAUUCGUAUUUGAUCCAAUCCCCAUGACUUAUACGGAGUUAUACAGAGAGCUUUAUAAUAAUCACUUAAUUGCCUCAAGUCAUUUAAAACUGCACAAGCUAUCCUAUCCCAAGUGGUAUGAUCCUACCGCUCAUUGUGACUACCACUAUGAAAUUAUCGAUCAUUCCACAGAGAAUUACACUGCCCUAAAGCAUAAGGUGCAAUGAUUGAUCAAGGAUGGAAUGACAAACUUUGAUCAAGGAGGAGCAACAACACCAAUGUUAGUGGCAAUCCAUUGCCUAAUCACAAUAUUAAUACUUUGAGUGAGAAUAAAGAAAACGUUGAUCCAAAAAGGCCUAAAGAGCUACACUAAAUCAAGGAGCCAGAAGAUAAGAAAAAUCUUUCACUUGAUCACAUAGGGGCAUAGUUUUGGAUAGGAGAAAGAUGUUAAGGUUGGUUGAAUGUUGCUUAUCAUUCUAGGAUUUCUUUCAAAAGUAAUGUUAGGAUUUCUUUUAGGCAAUAGGAUUUCAUUUGUUAUCAUUUUAAUAAAAGGCAAGUUAAUGCAUUUUAUUACAUUUUUUUUCAUACUUUGUCACCUUUUAUAAUUUUUCAUUCCCAUUUUUGAAUUUCAAAUGAUGAAUGUUUAGGCAAGGUCAAAAAUAAUUCUGGGAUUAAAUUUUGAGAACUCAUUCACAUUGAUUUGAGUAGAUUAUUUGAAAAAAAAAGCUACUGGCAGAUGCGAAAUAUAUAUAUCUUAAAGAUGUGUAGUUUUUUAUAAAUAUCCAUGAUCUUAUUUUUUUCAAUAGAUGAUCUUCAAGGAAAGCAUUCACAUUUGAGAUGAAAAAUGUCCUCUUUAUUUUUUCAUUUAAAAAACCAUUCAUUAUUACCCUUUUUGAGCCUAUUAUAAUUUUUUUUUCUAAAUAACCCCGAUCAAAGAUUACCCUCCACACUAGUAGGCAAUUUUUGAAAAAGAAAAAAGGCAAAAGAUCAUAAAGAGUCUUAAACAUAGAAAGACAAAAGUAAAACAAAGAAAAAAAAAAGAAAAAAAUGAAUGCCACACAUUAUUUGGGACAAAAUAGAGAGAGUCUUUUUGUGAGGAAUAAAAUGAGUGAAAAGGGAAAAAAUAAUGAAAUGAUGUAGGGUAAAAUGCCAAAUUGUAUCAAGUGAUCCUUUGGUUUUGAACCCUUUAAACACAUAUUUUGAGACUAUUUUAUCCAUUUCUUUCAUGACCCCUUACCAUGGCCUACAUUACAACCUUUAAAAGUUUAUUUAGAUCAAAUAUGAAUGCUCAAAUUGAAUGAUCAUAUGUUAGGCUAAGGCAUGCUUAUGAUGGGGUAAUGAAAUGUCUUUUAGAAAUUGAUGUGUGAGAGAUAUCACUAAUGAAUAGAAAAAAAAUGAAAAAAAAUGAAAGAAAAAAUAGAAGGAAAAAAUAAAAAAAAAAGAAAAAAAUGAAAGAAUGAGAAAAUAUAAAAGUGAGAAAACGAAGACUCAAAUUAAAAACUCGAAAAGGCAAUUUUGGUAGAAAAUCUUCAAGUUGAGAGUUGGAUAAACAGUUCACAUAAAGAAAGAUCAAAGAUAUUUGAAGAUCCUUUAAAGCUGGAGUAAAAUUUGAUAAGCUCAAAAUGAUUUUUGAAAAGUUAAUGGAAUGAGUUUUUGAAAAAUUCUAGAUUAAUGUUAAGAAUUAUCUGAGUAUUCAUUGUUUGGAUAUUGUUCCUCCAUUUGUUCACUUACCAUUCUUAAGGAUAUACUUUGAAUGAAUUCCUAUGCCCAUUUGUUUUUAUACCAGACUCAUUCCCUAUUGAUUGCCUUUCUCCCAAUUCACCUUAUGCUCUUUUUAUUCUUACAUCCUUAAAAUAAAUUGAGAAAAUGUCUAAUUGUAUUAUAGUUAUCAAAAAUUGAAAUAACGAUGAAUGAAUGACAAUGUGCAUAAAAGAUUCUUACAUUCUUUUGAAAAGAAAUUCAUGAUGAUAGAGGGCGAAAAAUGAUGAAAAGAUUACAAAAACUUGAAAAAAUGACACAUGAGAUGGCUAAAUGAUGAACACGGUGAUGGAUUGCUCAACAAAAUGAAUAGAAGGUAAAAAUCUAAAAAGAUGAUAUGAUCCAGAAAUGUAUAUGGUGAUGGAUUGACUGAUAUAACUUAUGAGUUAUGGUCAAAUGAUGGAAAUAAUGUGGAUCAAGGGAUGAAAUUUGUUUUUUUAGUGCUGAUGAGCCUAUGAGUCGAGUGAUGGAAAAAAUAAAGAUCAGUUGAUGAAAUGGCUAGUGCUAAAAGUCUGUUAACUAUGAUUAAAUGAUGAAUGAAACUUGUUCUGAAGUGGUUAGUGCUGAAAAACCAAUGAGUGGCAACCGAGUGAAGGAGGACUGAAACUUGUUUUGAAAUUGCUAAUGCUGAGAAGUUUAUGAAUGAUGAUCAAGUGAUGGACACGACAAUGAUUGGUUGAUAAAAUUUAUUCUAAAGUGCGAAAAAGAUAAAAAUGGGAAAAAGGUGAGAUGAUGGGGUUUUGAGAACCAUGUUACCACAUUUUGAUUAGAAUUUCAUGACAUUGACAUCGAUAUUACAUACAUUGCAUUUGCAUUGUUAUUUGGAGAAUAUUUGAAACUUAGGUUUGGCUAUGCAUUUGCAUUCUAUAAUAAACAUUUGAAUCAUGGUUAAGAAUAUUGCAUUAUGAGAAUCUAGAUUGUUGCAUUUGCAUCAUUGAUCAUGACAUUCAUUACAUACAAAAUUUUGACUUUGGUAAAAGUUUGAAAGUCAUCUGAAAAAGAAAUUUAGAAUCUUUUGAUAAAGUUUUUUAAGGCAAGAUUGUGAAUCCUCAAAUGAGAAUUUUUGAAUUUCAAAUAAGAAUCUUUGAAUUUCAAAUGAGAAUCUUUGAGUUUUCAAAUGAGCAUUUUGGGCUUUGAGUUUUAAAUGAGAAUCUUUGAGGUAUGAGACCCUAAAAUUUAUCGGAUGUGAAUCUUGGAACUCAAAUAAGAAGUUUUGAAUUUUUGGAUGUGAAUCUCAAAAUUCAAACAAAAAGCUUAAACUUUUUGGAUCUGAACCCCAAAUUUUGUCAAAUGUGAAUCUUUGAACUCGAAUGAGAAGUUUUGAAUUUUGGAUGUGAAUCUCUAAAAUUCAAAUGAGGAUCUUUAAAUGUUAGAUGCGAGUCUUAUAAUUUGUAAAUGCGAAUUUAAAAGGUAAGAAUCAAAAUUCAAUGAAUUCUUAUGAAGCUGAAAGGUCCUUGCAAAUUUGAACCUUUGAAUUUCAAUCUCAAAUUAUGAAUCUUUGAGUUCCAUUACAAAUUCCAUCAGACCUAAUCUGACUCUUCCAAACAUAAUUGUCGAGGAACAUUUUAUUUCAAAAGUCGUUGAGCCUCUGUUUAAAGGAGCAUUUAUUUUUCAAAGUUGUGGUGCCUCUGUUUAAAGGAGAAAUUAUUUUUCAAAGUUGUGUGCCUUUGUUUAGAAUUGUUUAAAGGAGUAAUUUAUUUUCAAAGUUGUGGUGCCUUUGUUUAGAAUUAUUUUUCAAAGUUGUAGUGUCUCUGUUUAGAGGAGCAAUUUAUUUUUUAAAGUUGUGGUGCCUCUAUUUAUAGGAGCUUUGUUUACUUUUUCAAAAAAAAAUAGAUGAAUUUGUUGGGGUGAUCAUAUUUGGGGUGUUUACGUCUUUGCAUAAUUUCUAUUACACAAGAAAUGCGUAAAGAGGGGCAGCUGUAGACACCAAAUUUGAUCCAGACCUGGAUCAAUUAGGCCUGAUCCAAUGGGGUCAAUAAUUUUUUGAUUUUCUGAUUAUUUCAUAUUUAUUUUUGUUUUAUUUUAUUAUCAUUUUGAAUUUUAUAUUGAUUAUUUAUUUAUUUAUUAUUAUUAUUAUUAUUUUAGGAGAUAAUGAUGGUGAAAAACAAAGGCAAGGAAUCUUGCUGUGAAUAGGGCUAGAUAAAAUCAUAGUUGGACUUAAUUCUUAUAGGAUAAGUCUAAUGGUUUUAUGAUAAUACAAAAUUCUAAUCAAAGGAAGGCUUAGAAUUGAUCAGAAACUCUUCUGAUCACAGCUUAUAAAUACCCACAUUGAUCAGAGGCAAGAGACAUAGAAAAAAGACACAGAAAUAGAAAUAAAAAAUCACAAGUAGAAAGCAAUAAGAAAAUUUUUUGAAGAUUUUUGGGUUUAGGGGAAAAAAGGAAUUUUUUUUGGAAAAAUCUAGAAAAUUCCUAGAUUCCGACGAAAUUUUCUAGCUUUUGGUUAAUUUUUCGAUGCUAGUUGAAUUUUUUUGUAACUUUCGGUGCUGGUUGAAUUUUUUGGUAGGGUUUCCAGAAUCCGAUAAAGAUUCCAACGAAGUUUGAAUUUUUUGGCGAUCAUCCGGUAAACCAACCCAAAUUCUGGCAGUAUUUUCCAGAAUCCAAUUAAUAUUUAAUCGAAGAUUCAAUCGGGUUAGAGAAAAGGAAGAGGAAAGAAAAAGGAAGAGAGAGAAGGGGAAAGUGAAAUCUAAGGAAAAAGGUUGGGAGCUGCCUUUUAUACAAGGCCCAAAAUGAUGUCAUUUUCACCUUAAAAACACCCCAGGAUCCACGUAUUUUUAUUCAAGUAAUCCAACUUGACUGCAACCUACUUCACCAACCCACGCCCCAACCUAGCCAACUUGAGCCGAGCCGAGCUCCUGAGCUAAGUUGCUGAGCCAUUUUCUAUGUCUGAAGUUGAGCCACGCCGAGCCGUUAAGUUGAGCUAUUUCAUUUUUUUAUUUUUUUUGUAUUCUGUUGGUAUUUUUUAUUUUAUUUAUGUGUUUGUGUUUUAGUAUUUUGUAUAAUUAAAUUGAGAAAAAAUAAAUAAAUAAGGUAAAAAAGUAAAAUAAAUUUUGGGAAUAAAUAUUAAUUAUCCAAUGAUGGAAUUUAUAGAAAUUUCAAAUGGUAAAUUUCUAUAAAAUUUCUAAUGAGAAAUUUUGCCUAAAUUUGUUCUAAAUUGUGAAAUAAUUUAGAUAAAGUUUUAAUAACAAUAAUUAAUAUUUAUUUUCAAAACACAAAAAAUAAAAAAAAAAUAAAAAAUAUUGAUAAAAAUUUUGGAAUUAAGUACAAAUUACCCAAAGAUGAGAUUCUUAGAAAUUUCAAAUUGUAAAUUUUUAAGAAAUCUCUAGUGAAAAAUUUUCUCUAAAUUUGUCCCAAAUAGUGGAAUAUUUUAGAUGAAAUUUUAAUAAAAGCAAUUGUAUUCUUUUUUAAAUUUGGUUGAAAAUAUUUGAUAAUUAUCCAAUGAUGGGAUUUUUAGAAAAUUUAAAUGGUAAAUUCCUAAGAAAUCUUUAGGUGAGAAAUUUCUUUAAAUUUGUCCUAAAUGAUGGAAGAAUUUAAAUGAAAUUCCAAUAAAAAAAUAAUUAUCAUAUUAUUUUUUUCAAAAAAAAAUAAAUAAAAUUUCUAAAUAGGCCUAAAUGGUGGAGAAUUUAGAAAUUCAAAACAAGAAAAUAUUUCUAAUUUGGCCCAAAUAGUGAAAUAAUUAGAUAUAUUUUCAAUAAUAAAAUAAUAAAUAAAUUUUUUUUCGACAACAGAGUCUUUUAAAAAAUUAAUGAAAAUUCUGAAUAUUCUUGAUGGUGAGAAAUAUUUUUAAAAAUUUUACCUAAAUUAAUGGAAAAUCUAUAAAUUAUUUCCAAUAUUUAACAUAAAAAUCCAUUGAGAUUCAAUACAGUAGGAUAAAUUUAAAAUAAUAUUGGUACCAUCAUUCGAAUGGACAUUGGGGUACUAAUAAUCUUUUUUCACAUGUAAUCGAACUUUCGAACCCUGUUCUAGUUUGUAGACCGAACAUAUUCUUUUAGGGACCCUUAGGCAAGCUUAGGAGCUCCUUAAAAUGAUAGAUUAUUAGGUGACCAAUCACACCUAGUUAAAAAAGAUUAGUGGUGACUUUAUUUGAUAAGUCUAGCUAUAGAUUUACGGAUCUAUAUGUUAUGACACUAUGUCCCUCCACCUCUAGGCAUAUUCUUGAAUGAUUCAGUCACCUUCUUUUUUCAUAUUCUACAAAGAUAGGCAAUCAGGGGCUAAGUCUAUCUAAUAUGGCAAUACUGACUAAUGAAAUCGUAGGCCAUAUUACUCCAAGACUGAAUACGCAUUUUAUCCAGCUGAACAUAUCAUUUAGCAGCAAAGCCUAUAAGAUUAUUUUGAAAAACAUGCAUUAAUAGCCUUUCAUUAUGAGAAUGAGUAGCCAUCUUUCGAUAGUAUAUGGUAAUGUGAAUUUUGGGCAUUUUGUACCAUCAUACUUGUUAAACUCCGAAACCUUAAUCACAUUCGGGACUAAAUAGAGCCCAACAGCAUCUACUAAACCAUAAAAACCCUUACCCUUUAUGGCUCAUAACCUUUCCUCUAAUAAGUUCAUUUUCUAUUCAGCUUUUAAAGUGUCAUUCUCUUUAAGCCUUAGUUUUUUUUUUGGAUUAUCCAAGUUAAGGAUUGGUAUUGGUUCUACUGCCUUUUUAGUAAAGACAAGAUUUACAUAAUUCUUGUACUAUCCAGGAUUUGAAGCUAAUGGCAUUUCAGGUAAGUAUAUCCUAUAGGAUAUGUGAACUGUUAUGGUGGUGGAUCUUAUGUGGACUGGGCUUAUUGUGACCCAAAACCAGGAGGGUACAAAAGGUCAUCCAUCUCUUGUGAUGGAUAAUCCUACUGGCUAGUAUUCCUUUUUUAUCUUUUUCCUUUGUUUAACUUAUUCAAGGCCUCCAAUAUCUUAUUCAACUCCCCUUUCAACUUUUCUUAAACUUUCUCUAUCCUCUCAAGACGAUUGAAAUUUUCUUAUUCCAUCUGUCUGGCUUGAGCUCUUGUAUUAUAUUAAUGAGUUAAUUGUGUGAGAUUCUUGGUUGGUGGAGCUAUCCUUGAACCUUGAGUACCAUAAUUAUGUAUUAUUAGAAAUGUUAUGCUUUAUGCAUGAUAUGUUGAUGCAUAAAUGAAAUGUACAUUUUCAUGGAUGAAAUCUAAUAUAAAAAUGAUACAGAUACACAAUGUUACAUAUAACAAUGAAAAUGAUGCAUGACAUGAUAAUGCAAAAUGCACAAAAUCAAACAAACAAAAUGGUUAGAUCAUAAACCAUUCCUUCUUGUGUCCUAACUUCGAGUUACAUUUAUCAAUAGGUACGGAGGGCUUUAUCUUGAGGCUGGCCUCUUAAGUAUACACUAUAUGCAAGGUUAGGUGAUUUUGACCACUAACAGUUCCCAAAUUGUUCCUUACAUCCUUAUCUAUCGCAGCCUAGUAAGGCAUUUCAAUCCUUACCCAUCACAAGCUACCAAUGAAAAAGAUUCAAUUUGAGUGAAAAUAUUUCACUAGCCAUUCGAAGAUUAUCAUCUCAUAAGAGCGUAUAGGUAUUUUAAUCCCUCCUAAAAAGGACAGAGCCUAGGCAUAGAUCUCAUUUAAUGAGAACACAUGUGAUAAUGUGUGUAAAGGAACACAUAAUUGUCAACCCGAUAAAUCAAAUGAGAAACAAAAAAGGUAAAUGUUAGUAAACAAAUAAUUACAAUUUAAAACCAUUAAAUCAGAUGAUAGGAUAUAUUUGAAAUAUUAUGGCCUGACUCUCUAUAGCUUCCCCAAUAGAGUCACCAAAUUGUCAUAACAUAUAGAUAUGAAAAUCUAUAGCUAGACUUAACAAAUAAAGUUGCCAUCAAUAUUUUUUUACCAGGUGUGAUUGGCCACCUAAAGAAUCUAUCCUUUUAAGGAGCUCCUAAGCUUGACUAAGAGUCCCUAACAGAAUAGGUUCGAGUAUACAAACCAAAACAAGAUUUAAGAGUUUAAUUAUAUAUAGGAAAUGUUAUAGCACCCCCACAUGCCCAUAAAAAAUAUGGUACCAUUUUAUUUUAAAUUUCUCCUAAGGUUUUGAUUCUAAUGGUUUUAAGUUUUAAUGUUUAAAUAUUAGAAAUAAUUUUUAAGAUCUUCCAUCAAUCUGGUAGAAUUUUUAAAAAUAUUUUCUCAUUUCAAGAAUAUUCAAGAAUCCCAUUUGUUUUCUUGAAGAGGCUCCGUCGUUUGAAAAAUAGGUUUAACCAUUUUUAUUUAUUGAAAAUAUUUCUAAUUCAUCCAUCAUUUGGGCCAAAACCAAAAAUAUUUUCUCUUUUUAAAUUUUUAAAUUCUCCAUCAUUUAGGCUUAUUUAGAAAUUCUUUUUUAUUUCUCUUUUUUUUAGAAAGAAAAUAAUAUAACAAUUAUUUUUCUUGAAAUUUCAUUUAAAUUUUUCUACCAUUUGGGACAAAUUUAAAGAAAUUUCUCACCUAGAGAUUUCUUUGGAAUUUAUCAUUUGAAAUUCCUAAGAUUCUUAUCAUUGGAUAAUUAUCAAAUAUUUUCAACUAAAAUUUUUAUUUGGAAAAUAAUACAAUUACUUUUAUUGAAAUUUCAUCUAAAUUAUUUCAACAUUUAGGAUAAAUUUAGAAAAAUUUCUCACCUAAAGAUUUUUUUAGGAAUUCACUGUUUGAAAUUUCUAAGAAUCUCAUACUUUGAUAAUUUGUAUUUAAUUCCAAAAUUUUAUAUUUUAUAUUUUAUUAUUAUUUUUUGUUUGAAAAUAAAUAUUAAUUAUUGUUAUUGAAAUUUUAUCUAAAUUAUUUGAACAUUUGAGAUAAAUUUAGACAAAACUCCUCACCUAGGAAUUUUAUAGAAAUUUACCAUUUGAAAUUUUAAAAAUCUCAUCAUUGGAUAAUUAUUAUUUAUUCUCAAAAAAAUAUUUAUUUUGUUUUAUAUAUUUUUUAAUUUUUUCAAAAUUUAAUCAUUAAUAAAUUUAAUAAAAAAUUUUAAAAUAAAUAAAUAAAAUAACUAAAAAAAUACCAAAAACGAAAAUGACUCGGCUCAAGAGCUUUAGCACAGCUCGAUUUCAAAUACAGAAUUUGACUCCAGGGAUGUAGCUUGGAAGCUCGGCUCGACUGAAGGGAUUGGCUAGAACAUGAGUCGGUAGGAGCAGGUUGCGCUUGGUCGAGUCACUCGAAUAAAAACACGCAGAUCCUGGGGAUCGUUUAAGGUGAAAACGACAUCAUUUUAGGAUCGGUAUAAAAGGUCAAAUUCUUUUUUUUCCUCAGAUUUCUCUUUUCCCCUCUCUCUUCUUCUUUUUCUCUGUUUCUCUCUCUAUCCCUGAAGAAGUCCAGUUGAAUCUUCAUCAGAUUCUAAAAAAUGUCAUCGAAAUCUAGGUUAGUUCAUCGAAAGUUCAUUAAAAAAUUUAACCAGUGUUAGAAUAUUUGACCGAAUUCUGGAAAGUUUGUCAAAAAAUUCAACCGAUGCUAAAAAAUUCAAUCAAAAACUAAAAAUUUUCUAGAAAAUUUUUUUUUAAUCUAAAAAUCUUCCAACUAAGUUUUUACUACUUUUGUGUAUUUUUUUUACCUUUGUGUAUUUUUUUGAAUCUUUAUGAUCAGUGUUUUUAUGAUAUGUCCUUGUGUGUUUCUAUGUUGAGGUAUUUAUAGGGCAAAUCAAAAGGAUUUUUGAUUGACUAUAACUCUCUCAUUGAUAAGAUUUCUACAUUAUCACAAGGGAAACUAAAACCAAUCACGAUUCUACCAACACCUAUCCAUGGUAGAAUCUGUCUUAUCCCUUUUUUUACUAUUAUCUAAUCAUUUUACAUUUAAUUUAAUAAUACAAAAAAAUUGAAGAUAAAUCAAAUAAAAAAACCAACCAAAAACUAGAGAUAAACAUAAUCAAAAUAAAAAUAAUAAAUAAAUAAAUAAACAAAUAAUAAAUUAAAAAUGAAAAACAAAUAAAAAAAUAAAAUAACAUAAAAUAACAUACUUGGGCCUAAAUAUUUAGACCUUAUUGAACCAGGCCCGAUAGGUUUGGGCCCGGACCAAUUAGGGUAUUUACACAUGACACAAUGAUAAUUGAUGCAAAAGAAUGUCAUGGAAUACAAAGAUGCUUAAGACAAUUGAUUCUCGUAUGUAUAAAGCUCAAAUGAUAAAAAUCACAUCACCUGUAAAUGUAUAUAUAGAAAAUGUAUUGUCUUGGUGAAUGGUGUUUACAUGAAAUGCAAUUUGUACAAUAAAUAUUUUAUCAGAAUCAUAUCAUUUAUGAAUGUAUAUGCAUAAAAUGCCAUGACACACUACAUGUGUAAUUAGAUGUAUGUAUAUAACUAGUGCAACAUACUUAUACAAAAUGCACUUAUAUAUUAUAUGCAUGACAAAAUAUGUUUACCUAAAAUGCAAUGCUUGUACUGUGCAAAUUUAAUGACAUUAAUACUACCAUUUAAAUGUGCAUAUAAUGAAAUGUAUGUAUAACCUUAUUAUUUUUAAAUAUGAAACAUGAUGAAAAUGAAUGAAAAAAAGAUCAAACGAAAUGCAAAGUGUGAAAUAACAUUCAAAAUAAAAAAUUUCCUUUUUUUCCAUUUUUUAUAAAAAGAAAUAAGAAUUUAAGAAAAUAUAUCCUAUAGAAAAAAAAGCAUAUAAAAUGACUAAGAUUUAAAGAUUUUUUUUCCCAUUUCUAUUUUUUAUUAAGAAAAAUCUUUUUCUUUUGAAAAAUUUUGCUUUUGUUUGUUGAAAAAUACAAAGAGAAUCCUUUUUCUUUUUAAAAGUAUGUUUUAAAGAUGCCAAUUUUGGACAAACAGUAGACAAAUUGAACUACAUGUCAAAAAAAAUUUCUUGAAAGAAUAUUUUUGUUUUUUUUUAUUUUUUCUCAAAAUUUUGGUUUUAUUUGUAUUAUUAUUACCUCUUAAAUACAAAUUGUACCAAAAUGUUUCUCAUGUGUCCUAAUUCGGUAAUUCAUACAAAAAGAUCUGUAUGGCUUUCCUAUCAUUGGUCCCCUGAGGUUUACUAUAUGCUGGGUCGAGAUUUAUACAUUUAAAGGUUCAUAAACUACUUUUUAUAUCAUCGUCCAUUAUAAACAAGUAAGGGACUCAACCUUCACCCAUUACAAGCUUUAAAUGGAAAUUGUUUAAUUUGAGUAGAAAUAUUUUACUAGCCAUUAUGAAGGUAUUUAUCUCACAAGAGCGUAUAUACUUCACUCCCCUUUAAAAGGGUAAAAGUUUGGGUAUAAAGCUCAUGUAUGCAAUGCACAUGUGAUCGUGUGAGAAGGAACAUGCCAACACUUUAUAACAUUAAAAUCCCUAUGCUAAAUGCCUAAACAUUUAUUAAGAAUAAUAUAUAAAAAAUAAUAAAAAAUAAAAUAAAUGAAACAAUCAAAAUACGAAUGCAAUGCAAAAUAUUUUUUAAGAAAAUCAAAAUUAAAGAAACCAAAGUUAAAUGACCAUUAAAUCAAACUUAAGAUAACAUAUAAUCAAUUUCUAACUCUCUAAAAAUAAUAACGUCUCUAUCAAAGUUGCCAAACUAUCAUAACGAUGUUUGAGACCACUAAAUGAAAUUUUUUUUAAAGUUCAAAACAAAGGGAAUCACUACAAAUCUUUUUUGGUUAGGUAUAAUUGGCUAUAUAAAAAACUUAUCUUUCUAAUAAAAUUUUUAAAUUAAUUAAAACUUAUUGAAAAGAUAAUUUUUUGUUUGGUUUGUUAAAAAAAAUUUUGGUUUAAGAGUUUAGUUAUGGGUGAGAAAGGAUUAACACCCAUGCAGUAUCUAUUUUAAAAAUGAUACCUAUUAAUCCCAUGUUAUCCUUUUGUUUUGAUAAAAGUGAUCUUAAUAUUAAUAUUUAAAAUAAUCCUUUUAUUUUUUUAUAUUUUACAAAAAUCAUUUUAAAACCUUUUAUUUAGGAAUAAAGAAAAGAAGACAGUGAUUUGGAUCAUAAAGAAAGAAACAUCCACGAGAAAAAUGGGAUGGAUUAUGUAUAUUUUAUUUAUUUAUUUAUUUUUGUAUUGAUGUUGUUUUGGGGUGUCAGUAAGAUAAGUGGUGACUUGGAGGUUGCGUGAGGAAUGACUUGAACCUGCAACAAGAAAAUAUGGUCAGGGGAUAUCAGAGUUGGAUUUUUAAGAUGUGUUUUGAUGCUUAAGUCAGUCAAGUGUUUAGGAUUUUUAUGAGGAAGAAGGUAUGCUAUCAAGAGUACUGAAGAAGCUUAAGGGAGAUGGGUUUGUUAGUUCUUAUCGUACCUAAGUCUAUUUUUUACCUUAUAUAUGAGAGGAAAGGGUGUGAAUUGACCAGCUUAGUGCACUAAAUACCAAUGCAAGAAAUCUUCUUGAAGCACCAAAGUGCACUAAACCCGCACCUUCAUAUCUAUUGUACUCAAAAUUUUAUUUUUAUAUCCUUUAAAACAGUUUUUAAAAACGUCUAUUAAUGAAGUUUUAGCAGCAACUCUUUCUGCUCCAAUCCAAAAUGCUGAACUGCCUGUACUUAAUUGUCGGUCGAUAGGUUUUCAUCCAGCAUCUGGGGUGACCAUUUUCUCUCAUAUGCCUCAAACAUUAUGGUAAUUUCAAUAAUGGAUUAAUCUUUGUAUAUACAGUUUAAUUACAUUCCAUAUAUAAAAGUACUUAAUUUUCAUUGUUUUCUCAUAUAGGAGGAAGAUCAUGAUAAGAAGGAAGAGCAUCAGAAGCUGAAGAAUGAAUUACAGAAGAUGCUAAUGACUGAUCAGGUUGAUAAACCUUUGGAAAUGCUUAAGUUGAUUGAUGCAAUCCAAGGCCUUGGAGUUUGUUAUCAUUUUGAAAAAGAGAUUAACCAAGUACCGCAUUUCGCCUACAAUGAUUGUGAUAUUGGGGUCAAUGAUGAGAACCUUUAUACCAUUUCUCUCAAAUUUCGUCUGCUUCGACAAAAUGGCUAUGGGAUGUCAUGUGGUAUGAAACUGAUCUUAAUACUUGCUUUUCUAUAUUUAUGGACAGAACUUGACAAUAUUUGUGAGCCAAUUUAAUUUAGGCUUAUUUUCAAGUUUGUGUGGUUAUAAAAAUAGAAAAGAGUUUUGAAAACUUACUAAUUUCAAAUACAAUAACCUUUCCAAUUUUAUAUAAUCAAGUGCUCCUAUCCCUUGCACCUGAUCUUGAUGAUUUUCCUGAAGCAGUUUGAGCAAAAGAGAGGACAUGUGGCUUCAGCCAUUGAAUGUUACAUGAAACAGCAUGAUGCAACAGAACUGGAAGCUGUCAAGGAAUUUCGUGAACAAAUUACUAAAGCUUGGAAAGAUAUAAAUGAAGAAUGUCUCCAUCCAACCAUUGUCUCCAUCUCACUCCUCACUCGGAUUCUAAAUCUUUCUCGUGUAAUCGAUGUUGUUUACAAGACUAAAGAUGGUUAUACUCAUACUGGAGUGAUCCUUAAAGACUUUGUACCCUCUUUGCUUAUUAAUCAUGCUCCUCCUUUAUGAGCAUUUUGUCAUUCUAGUACUUCAAUCACAAAUAUAGACCAAGUGCUGUUAAAUAAAUCUCUUCAAAAAUAAAAUUUCCAGUAUUAUCGAUAAUUUUCAAUAACAUAAUUAUACUGCCUAUAAAUGUUCAUAUUCUAUAAAACAAAUCAUGUAAUAUUCAUUUUUCCAUAUUUAGAUGAACUUUGUAAUUAUUUUUGUAGUGUUUGAAAUGGGGAAUUAAUCCUUUAAUUAGUAUUAACAAAAGCAUUGAGGAAUAAUUUUGCAGAUUUUUUUUGUCAUAUUACUUUCAACUUUUGAUAUUUAAGGAAUCCUACUAUUUUUUGGUCUCGAUUUUUUUGGACAAAAUCUGAUCCCCUACAUUUGUAAAAUUUUCUUUCCUAACUCCUCUUAGAUCUUAAUUUCCUGUGUAUAAAAAUAAAAAUAAAGUUAUCACAAAUAUUUAGGUUAGAAGAGUAUACUCGGCCAUUGGACUUUUAUUAAGUUUCAUCAACUACACACCCAAGGCUGUUGCUGCUAGCCCAGCCCAUUUUGUAACAAAGCAUGUCUUUUGCCAUAACCUAUCAUGUCAUUGGGAAGUUUUAUUUACAUCUAAUUUAUUAUUUUAUAUAUUUUAUUUUUAAAUACAUCUCAAUUUUAAAAUUUAAUUUUUUUAUUUUUACUAAAUAUAUUUCAUCUCUAAUUUUUUAUUUUUUAUUGUUAUCAUUUUUCUUUUCUUUUCUCUUCAUAUUUUGAAAUCGAACUUUUUGAAAAUAAAUAUAUGAAAAGUUUUGAAGAUUUUCGAAAAUAAAUAUAUAUUUUUUAGAUUUAUAAAAAAAAUUUUUAAGAUAUCUAAGCUAUUGAAAGUAUUUUUAUCAUUUAUUAAAAAAUUAAAAUUAAUAUUUUACUAUUUGAGUAUUUAAAAAAAAUUAUAGUAUAUUUAGGAGCCCCUGUCAUUUAUUUCUUUUUCUGAUCACAUGUCAAUUGCUUCAAAUAUUAAACUGAUUAUUAUGCGCCAAUGAAAGUCUGUUUCUAAUGACAAAGCAGAGACCUUAGAAUCUUUAAAUGUCAAAAUCAAAACACUGUGUACUCAUGAUAUUAUUUAUUUUUUUUAUUGAUUUCUUCUUGAAUGUAAUAGUAGUAUUAUAUGCAUUAAUAAAUACUUCAUUUGAUUGUAAUUUUGCAUGUAUAUGUAAUUUCAUUAAAAAAAAAACAAAAAACAUUAACAUAUGCCUGGUAUGGAUGGUAAUUGUGUGAAUUCAAUUAAAAAAGUUUCCCGUAGUUGAUUUUAUAUCUUAGUAUUAUAUUUAAUAAUGAUUUUAUUCUUGAUUUUUUUCUUUAUAUAUGUAGACAUCCUAUUUCGUUCAGAGAUUUUUUCAAAUUCAUUAGGUUUCAAAUUUUAAUUUUGAUUAUGCAAUUGGGUUUUAAUUAAAAAAUAAAUUUUUGACCCAAAGAUUAAAUCUUAAAUUUUAUUUGUAUUUUAAUUUUUUUAGUUUAAUUUUUGGUUUUAUUUUUAUUUUUUUAGUCAAAAAGCCAAAGUCAAUUAGUAAAAAAAAAAAGGAGUAAAAAAAUAAAAAAAAUGUGAGAUUUUAUAUGAAAAAUUUUGGAUUCAAUUCAACUCUUGGAUUCUAUCUCAGAUUUUAACUUUAAUGGUUAAAUAAUUUUGAAAAGAUUUAGGACUCAAUCUAUUGAAAAAUGAAAGAUUACAUGAAGAAUAAAAAUUGAAAAAAAAUCUUAGAUUGGGUUGAAUUAAUUUCUUCCAAAUCGAAAGAGAUUCAAUUUGUAUAAAGAUCUUGAAUCUAUAAUCAAAAGGAGAGGCCUCAUAGCAAUUGACUUCAAGAUCAAACAAAGGUCAUUGAAAAGAGAAAAAAUUUGGGCAAAGUUUUGAAUUAACAAGGAAGAAGCAAUCAAGCAAAAAAUUUUGCAAUAAGAUCCAGUUGGAGUUUUUGGAAAGGAAGCUACGAUUUAUAGUAGGAAGUAUCAAUUUUUGAAAGGUGAAAGUUGGAACUCAUCGAGGUAAUAUUUGCUUUCAUUUUUCCUUUUUUUUGUGAUUUUUGCAUAAGUUUUAUAAUAUUUAAUUACUUACUCUUAUUUUUAUAUUUAUUGCAUGGUAUUUAUUUUUGCAUGAAUUUGCAUGACUAAUAUUAUAUUUGCAUGAUAAUUUAUGCUCCUAAUAUAUUUGUUUGCAUGAUUAAUAUAUUUCUUUGGGUGAUUUAUUAACAUAUUUGCAUGAUUAUUAAUAUAUUUAUUUAUAUGAUUAUAUUUAAUUUGAUUGCAUGGUUGUUAAUAUAUUUAAUUGCUUGAUUAUUAAUAUAUUUAUUUGCAUGAUUAUAUAUUUAAUUGUAUGUUUAUUAGCAUGAUUAUAUAUUUAAUUGAAUAUUUUGCAUGGUUUAUAUAUUAUUAUUUACAUGAUUGCAUGAUUAUAUAUUUAAUUGCAUGUUUAUUUGCAUGAUUAUAUUUAAUUGCAUAAUUACUAAUAUAUUUGUGUGAUUAUAUUUGAUUUCAUAAUUAUAUAAAUGCAUGAAUGGCUAUUAAUAUAUUUGCAUAGUAUUUUAUAUUAUGGCAUGAUAAUUAAUAUAUUUUUGCAUGACAUUCUUGCAUGAAUAUUUUAGCAUGACCUAGCAUGAUAUUAUUACAUGAUAUUUGGUAUAAUUUAUAGUAUUAUAUUUGCAUGACAAUUUUUGCAUGGUAUGAUUUAAUAUUUAUUGCAUUAUUGCAUGAUUGCUUGAUAUUUUGAUAGAAUUUUUGUAUCACCAUUUUUGUAAAUAAAUAAAAGGAUUGGAAUUGAUUUAUUUGCAUGAUAAAACUAUCUUUGAUAAGGUUUAGGUAAGAUAACACAUAAUUAACUUGGGACUAGCUUUAGGCGUAAAGGGGUACUAAUACUUUCCCUGCACGUAAUCAACUCUUAAACCUUAGUUCUGUUGAUGUAGACCAAAAUCUAUUCUUUUUUAGGAAUCCGCAACUUAGGCUUAUGAUAACCAUAAAAAGGAUAAAUCCAUAUAGGUGGCUGAUCACAACUAGCUGAAAAAGAUUGAUGGUGAUUCAAUGAUUUUUAUGUCUAAUGGGUAGGUUUUCUCAACCUAUACGUUAUGACAGUUUGGCGACUCCAUUGGGGACAUUAGAGAUUCAAGCCAUUAGUUAGUUAUGUGUUAUAUUAAGCCUGACUUUGAUAGUUUUUAUUAUGUAAUUAUUUAUGAUUUUUAUGUAUACUAACCUAUUUGUUUAUGAUUUCUUAUUUGUUUGUUUUGCAAAUAUUAUUUUUUAUUCACACCUAUCUAUUUGAUUACUUAGCAUGUCCCUUUAUACAUAUCAUACUUGCAUUCAUGCAUAAGCUUUAUACCUAGGCUUUAUCUUUUAUUAAGAGGGAGUAAGCACCUGCACUCUCUUGAGGUGAUAACUUUUGUGUAAGCUAGCAAGAACUCCCAUUCAAAUUGAACCCUUUUCAUUGGAGCCUAUAUUGGUGGUCAAGGAUUUGGGUGCCUUACUAGUCUAUAAUAGAUGACAAUGUGGGGAACAGUUUAGAAGCCUUUAGAUUGUCAAGCCUUUAAACCUAGUUUGUACAUAAACCCUAAAGAUUCAAACCUAGGCUAAAGCCCUUCUCUCCCUUUAAUUGGAGAAAAAAAAACCCUAAAUAGGACACUUAAUGGGACAAUUAUUAUUCUUGUAAAUUUAUGUUAUUCCUUGUAUAUAUUUUUGCAUACUAACCUUUAUAAGUUGUUAUUCUUUGUAUAUAUUAUAAUAUGAUUACUAACCUUUUUUUCUCUUUCUACUUUAUUGUGCAUGCAUGCAUUAUUGAGAUUUAUAGAAAGAGUAAUUGCUACAUAAUAAUCUUAACAAAAAAAAAUCUUAAUUACAUUUAUAGAGAGCCUAUCAAAGUUCCCUAUGUGCCUGAGAAUGAAGUUCGAGGAAGCUCAGCUUAAAGGAGAUGAUUUUUGGUCAGUCAAUUAUGUAACUACUCUGCUCGUUAAAAUCCAUCUCAAUCUCAAAUGAAAUUAUUUUAGCGAUUUGGUUGAUAUUUAAACCAAUAGAGUGUCACUAUUAAAAAGACUUUCUAAAAGAAGUUUGGGAACCUUGCAUUGCUUCUUUCAGUCCCUAUUGAUGAUCAACUUAUUAGGGCCAUGGUUUAGUUUUGAGACCCUUCAUAUCAUUGCUUUGUGUUCACUGAGGUUGACAUGGUGCCAAUGAUUGAAGAAUAUUUAACUCUUCUUCGCGUGAAUCUCCCUAAUCCUACUAAGGUAUAUUGGAAAAAUAAAAAGAUUGAUUAUUGAAAAAGCUUGCUCAAAUGAUGUCAUAGAUAUCCAAACUGUUGAUAAUUAGGUAAAGGGAAAAAGUGAAAGUGUUGGUAUUCCUUAGUCCAUUUUUCGUGACUUUAUAUACAAAUAUUUUGACACUGAAACAGGAAUGGAGUUGAUGGCAUUGGCUCUAAAUAAGAUGAUGGUAUUUUCAAAAGUAAUUGACUAUAUUGAUGUUGCAAUGGUAGAUUUCUUUGAUCAACUUGGUUACAAAAUCAACCUUAUUCCUAUAAUUUUGGCUGAGACUAUUAGAUCUUUAAAUCAUUGUCAUCAAAAUGGAUAAGGGUGUUUUACUGAAUGCAUUUAAUUGUUAACCAUUUGGAUGAAAAGUCAUAUAAAAAAUAAUGGUGAUAAAUUUUGCAAGCCAUAUUUCACUAUAAGCAAAACCCAUUAAAGAAUUUUAUGAAAAUGAAUGGCCUACACCAAAAUCCAAGGAAACAUGGAUCUUAUUUCUACGUAAGCUCACUAGCCAAGAUGUGAUAUGGAGAGCUCUUUGGAUGCCUUAUUGACCAAUGUUAUAUGGUUGUGAAGAUAAGCUUUGAGUUUCUCUCUUAGGCUUUUGGGGUGCAGUGAGUUAUUCCCCCUUCAUGGUGCAAAGACAAUAUAGUUAUGAAUAGUCUAUCCUAGCCAUUUUCAGACUUAAUAAAAUGGAGUUCUCAUAUGUUGAAACUGAUGCUUCUAUAAAGAUAACCAAAAUCCUAAAAGCUUAGAAUUUGCCUCAAAGAGACGAUAGAAGGAGACGUUCAAAUGAGGUUACCCCUAAAUAUUUUAUAUGGCACAUUAGGUGAGCUAAAGACAUCAAAAUCCUUGAAGAAGUAACUCUAAAUGGCCUAAUGAAAUCACCACUUCUUGAGCUUUUAUUGGUAGUGGAAAUUGGUAAAAGAAAGCUCUAAGUUGAAAAGGAUGAAUUGCAGUUUAAAAAUAAAAGGCAAAAAAGGGAGUUAAAGGGAAAAAUGUACAAAAAGGUUCAAUUCAAAUAAGAAAGGGAUGAAUGGAAGAAUCUUUUUUCUAUCUCAACAUACAUAGUCAUCCACCAAUCAUUAGUUAGCCUAACUUUUGAAAGAAAAUGGACACUUAUAAGCAAAGAUGCAAAGAAAAGAUAAAGCAUUUAAGAAGCAUAAAAGCACAUCCAAAUGCUCAAUGGGUGGUUGGUCAAAAUUAGAAUACAAAUGAGUGUUGUGAAUGAAGAAUGUGAAUAAGCCUAGGGAAGUAUAUAUGAGAAAGCAUAACCAAUUAGAAUGCUUACUUGACCAAAUCACUAUAGCUAUCUAUAAAUCCAAGGACAUGGUAAAAAAAGUUGAAGAAUGUAAGAUAAAGGUACCACUAGUGGGUACACAUACUGCUAGCUUUCCUUAAUGAAGUACAAGACCAAUAUUGACAAAUUAGGGAUUUUUUUUCCACAAUAAACUUUAGACUUUUUAUGGAUAUUCAAUAAAGAUUUUUUUUGUUAACAAUUAUUAUGUAAUAAAUUCUCUUUAUUGCAUCAUACAUAAACAUCUUUCCAAAGUGCACGAUAAUAAGUUAUCCUAAUUCUUAAAAAUUAUGAAAAAUCAAAGUUCAAGAAUAGCUCAAUCUUCAAACAAUUUGAGGCAUUAAAAUACUAGAUAUCAAGCAAGAAUCAUGGAAGAAAACAUUUUUCACCUCCAAAAGUUAGAGAAAACAUAAGAAGAACUGAAAGAGUAGUUGGAAACUAUUACCAAAUUAUUGAAAAACAUGAGUAAAGGAAAGAAAAUGGUGGAAGAAGUGAUGAUACAAAAUGAGAUUGAUUUACUCUACCCUCAUGGCUUUGACCCAUAUUCAGCACUUGCAUCUCAAAAGGCUCAGCACUAAAUGACAUUCACUGCAAGUUAUCCUUAUGUGCAAAUUGACAUGCCAACAACUACUGUUUAUGUUCUCGUUUCCUCUAUUCUUGAUAUCAAAACAUUUGAUCCUACACAAGUUUUAAAUCUUGAUCAUAUCAAAGAACAAGAAAAGUUAAAGAUAGGCUCUAUUAAAACUAAAGAAAGCUCUAGUUCUCGAAAGAUAGAUUCAUAGAAGAGAGACUUAAAGCCAUUGAAGGAACAGAUUUUUAUGGGUCAAUAGAUGCUAUUGGAUUAUGCCUGGUUCUUGAUGUCAUGAUUCCACCAAAGUUUAAAGUGCCCAAGUUCGAAAAGUAUGAUAGGACCAAAUACCCUAUCACAUAUAUUACAAUAUAUUGUCAUAAGAUAGCUGUAUACAUUCAUAAUAAAAAGUUCCUCAUCUAUGUUUUUCAAGACAAUCUUACUAGUUCAACUACUAGGUGGUAUGUGAAACUAGAUAGAUUUCACAUUCAUAAAUGAAAAGAACUUGCAAGAGCUUUCAUUGCACAAUACAACCACAUUAUAGAUUUGGCACCAGAUCACAUAUUUUUACAAAGCAUGCAAAAGAAAGAUAUUGAAAGUUUUAAAGAAUAUGCCCAGAGAUUGAGGGAUAUUGCUACCUAAGUUCAACCACUACUCAUUGAAAAGAAGAUCACAAUCUUAUUUGUCAAUACUCUCAAAACUCCUUACUAUGAAAGGAUAAUUGGAAAUACCACUAAAAAUUUUAAUGAUAUAGUAAUUCCUAGAGAGAUCAUCGAAAAUGCCAUUAAGAAUAAAAAGUUUAAAGUGGGUGAUACAAGAAAAGGGUUUGUACUAAAAAAGAAAGAGGGUAGAUGGCUCAAGCUAUAAUUCAUGAAGAGUAACAAGUGAGGAGGCUUCACCUCAUAUUCUUUUUACCUGAUGUACCCAAUCAUCAAUAAUAUUUCGCAAGUCCCUUUGUUCAUCAACCCUAUAUAGUCACCCAACUCCUUGGUCAAUUGCUCGACCCUAAGAUCGGGUGAAAAGAGAAAAGCUCUAUAGUUCAAUUCCUAUGACAUACACUACGCUGCUCCCUCAACUCAUGAGAACUAUUUGUCACACCAAUUUAUUUGAAACUUUAAAGCCUCUUUAUCUCAAGUGGUAUGAUUACUAAUGCUACUUGUGACUAUCAUCCUAGGAUUAUUGAUCAUUUAUAAAAAAUUACACAACAUUGAAGUAUAAAAUACAAAGUUUGGUAAAAUGAAUUGGUGAAUUUUGAUCAAGAAACAGGACAUGUGUCAUUAAUGACCUUUAACCACACUAGGGGAUAAUUUUGAAUGAGUUUUUAUAAAUGUUUGUUACCUUAUAAACUUUAAGAAAUAAUGUAUGUUUGGAACAUUCAAGUUUUUUAUGUUAAUCUUUUAUUUAUCUUUCAUCAUUUUAAUAAAAUAACGUAUGUAUUUUCAUUACAAUUUCCCAUUUGUUCCAUUGCUUUUAUAUACAUUUUUUUCACAUUUAACCCACUCCUAUGUUUUAAAUAAUGAAUGUUUAAACAAUUAUGACAAUAAUUCAUGAUUUAAUUUUGAAAGUAUCAUUUAGAUUAAUGAAAUUGAUAAGUUAAGACUCUUAAUCUAUUGGGAUUAUUGAAGUUAAAGAGGACAUGUUUCAUGAAAUGAAACUAGUAUGAGAUUUCACUCAUUCAUAGAGAGAAGUGAGGUAGUGUAUAAUUUUUUUUUUUUAUGAUGGUUCGCUCACAAGUUUGCUCUUAGUUAAUAAAUAUUUUUUAUUGAAAAUAUUCAUAUUUGAAAUGAAAAAUGGCUAUCUUUCUUCUACCCUUUACAAAAAUAGUAAAAUUAUCAAUUUACUAUCCCAUUUAAACCUAUUGAAUUUUUUUUGAAAGAAACUCUAACCAAGGAUCAUCCUCUACAUUAAAGGUAAAGUUUGAAAAAUGCUUGAUCAUAAAGAGAAAAACAAAGAAAAAAUAAAAGUAAAGGUCCCUAAUGACUUUAAGGGCAAAAAAAAAAAAACCUCUUUGGUGCUCAGAUCCUUUCUUAAAAAAGGAUGAAAAGUGCAAAUCGAAAAAAUGUGAAACAAAGAAAGAAAAAGAAAAAAAAAGAGAAUUAAUGAAAAAUGGGGUAAAAAAUCAAGUUGCUCCAUAUUAUAAUAAAUUAUCCUUUGGUUUAUAACCUUUCGAAUUAAUUUUAAGCCUACUGUAUCCAUUUUUUUCAUAACCCAUUACCUUAGCCUACGUUACAUCAUUUAAAAGUCCAUUUUGAUUGAAUGUGAAUGCCUAAAGUGAAGAAUUAUGAAUUAGACUAAGACAAACUUGUAAUGGGAAUGUUGAGAAUUUGAUCAAAAUGUCACUAAUAGAUUAAGGGAAAAUGGAAAAUAAGAGAGAAAGGAUGUGAAAAAGUUGUGCAAAAAAAAGCAAAAAAGUAAAACAAAAAAAAAGAGAAAAAGAAAACAAAAUGAAGACUUAAUCUGAAAACCCGAAAGGAUGGUUUAAGUAACAAAAAGAAAACUUGAAAAAUAGCCUUGAUGGGGAUUCCCAAAAAAUAAGGAUAAUGCUUGAACUGAAGAAAGAUAAAAAAACAUCGAUAGAAUAAGCUUUUGAAAAAAAAUUGAAUUAAUUUGUCUAGAAUUAUUUGAAUAUUCAUUAUCUUAGAUUUUGCAUACCCUUCCCAGUAUUUAUCUUAAUGAUUCAUUCUGAAAUGAUUUUUUUACCUAUUUAUUCUUAUUAGACUUGUUCUUAUAAUGAAUACCUUUUUCUUUGAUUUUUCUUGUUCUUUACCAUUUAUUUCUUUCCUUGAUGAAUUAAAAAAAUGUGAUUGAUUACAUUUGGCAUUGAAUUGAAAUGAUGAUAAAUGAAUAAAUAACUGUUAUGAAAGAUCAUUGCAUUAUUUGAAAUGACUGAGGCAUAUUGAAAAUGAAAUGUGAAAGAUGAAAAAGUUUUAAAAUGAUGUUGAUCUUUAUGGCUUACAAAUGAAAAAAAAAAACAUUUCAAAUGUUGAGAUCAAAUGAUGAAGCUAAUAAAGAGGAAUUUUGGAUCACAAAUCAAUUGAUAGAUUUGUUGGCUAGCCAAUUCCAAAAGUGUUGAAGAAAAACAUGAUGAAAAGUUGAAAAGAAGAUAUGAAGAAGAGCCUUUAGAUACCAUUGAAAGAAAAAAACUUUGGAUUUGAACGAUAUAAUGGAUGAAACUACUUGACGAUGCAUGAUAGCUCAUGUUGAAAAUUAUAAGUGUUGAUGGGUUAAAAGAAGUAAGAAGAUAAAUUAAGAGUUUUAAAAACUUUUUGAUUUAUCACAAUUAAAAAGAUGAUUGAAUUACAUAGCAUACAUUGCAUUCACCACAUGCAUUAUAUGUAUGCAUCAUACUGAGAAUAUUGCAUUCAUACAUGGCAUUCAUCAUGCAUAUUUUAAAAAAAGAAAAAAAAAGUUUAAAGUUUGAAAUUGGGUUGGAAUUUUGCAUUCAUUGCAUUCAUGCAUUGUAUUCACUGCAUUUAAUAUAUAUUGCAUAUACCAUUAGAUUUAUUGCACUCAUGCAUUGCAUGUUUGGAGAAGAAAGAUCAAAGUUUAAGUUGUGAAAUUAGAAUUAAAUUUUGAAAAAUCUUUGGCUCAUGCAUUCAUUGUAUGCAUACAUUGAGUUCACCAUAUUCGUCCCAUGCCUCAUGCAUGUUUGAAAGGAAGAAAAAUUAAAGUUUGAAUCUUGAAAAUGAUUUUGAAAAUUAUGGAGAAUCUUUUCAUUCAUUGCAUGCAUUCGUUGCAUAUGUUUGAAAAGCAAGAAGGAAAAAUUAGAUGAGAAAAUAAUUUUGAGAAGAGACAUUGAAAGGCAAUCAAUGAUAAUUGAGAUGUAGAAACUCAAUUUAAGGUAAGAUUUUUUUAAGUUUCAAUACCUCUAUUGAGGAAGAACUUUUUUGAAGGUAAAAUAAUAUUAUUUAUUCAAAGUUCAAAGCCUCAGUUGUGAUGGACCAUUUAAUUUCAAAAGUCAAAGGCCUAUUUUUCAAAAAAUUUCAAAACCCUUAGUUGUAGAAAAGAUUUUACUUUUCCAAAAUUUAAAGCCUUCAGUUGUGGGGAGCAUUUUAUUUCAAAUUCAAGCCUCAAGUUGUGGCGAGAGUAUUUUAUUUUAAAAGCUUUUUCAAAUCCUCUAGUUGUUCGGAAUAUUUCAAAAGUUCAAAAGCCUCAGUUGAUGAGGGAACAUUUAUUUUCAAAGUUUCAAAAGCCUCGAAUUGUGGAGAGCAUUACUUUUUAAAGUUUUCAGCCUUAGUUGUGAUGAUAAAGCAAUUAUUUUUCAAAAAAAAGGGGAAAGCAUUUUUUUUUUCAAAAGUUUCAUAACCUUAAUUGUAAGGGAGCAUUUUAUUUUCAAAAGUUUCAAAGCCUCAGUUGUGGGGGAACAUUUUUUUUUUCAAAGUUUCAAAACCUCAAUUGUAGAGGAGUAUUUUAUUUUCAAAAGUCUCAAAGCCUCAGUUGUGGGGGAGCAUUUCUUUUUUAAAAAAAGCUUCAAACCUCUGAGGAGGAACCUUUGCAAUUUUCUUUUUUGAUUUUUCUUAACCCGAACAAAAUGGAUGUCUUUUAUCUUUAUAGAAUUCUUGUUCCACAAAAAAUGUACAAAGAAGAAUAACUGUAGAUACCCUAUUUUGUUCAGGGAUUUUUUGAAAUUUAUUGGCCUUCAAAUUUUAAUUUUGAUUGUGCAAUUGAGGCUUAAUUGAAAAAGUGAAUUUUGGACCCUAAGAUUAAGCCAUAAAUUUUAUUUGUGUUUUAAAUCUUUUUAGUUUUUUGUUUAAUUUUUGUUUUUUAGUCAAAAGAGUCAAAGUCAAUUGGUAAAAAAAAGGGUAAAAAAUAAAAUAUAUGGGAUUUUGCAUGGAAAAUCUUGGAUUCAAUUCAACUUUUGGAUUCUAUCUCAUAUUUAAACUUUUAUAGUUGAAUAAUUUCGAAAAGACUUAGAGCUCAAUCUAUUGAAAAAUGAAAUAUUACACAAAGAAUAAAAUUUGGAGAGAAAUCCUAGAUUCAAUUGAAGUAAUUUCCUUUUAAAUCGAAAGGGAUUUAAUCAUUUUAUAAGGACUUUGCAUCUGUGAUCAAAAAGGGAGUCCUCACAGUAAUUCAUUUCAAAAUCAAAUAGAGAUCAUUGAAAAGAGAGAAAAUUUGAGCAAAGUUUUCAAUCAACAAAGAAGAAGUAAUCAAGCAAAAAAAUUUGCAAUAUGAUCUGAUUGGAGUUUUUGGAAGGAAGGCUAAGAUUUAUUGUAGGAAGUAUCAAUUUUUGAAAGAUGAAAAAUUGUUGGAACUCAUUGAGGCAAUGUUUGCUUUCAUUCUUUUUUUUGUGAUUUUUGUAUAACUUUUAUAAUAUUUAAUUGCUUACUCUUAUUUUUUUUAUUUAUUGCAUGGUAUUUAUUUUUGCAUGAAUUUGCAUGAGUAAUAUUAUAUUUGCAUGAUAAUUUAUUUGCCUAAUAUAUUUGUUUACAUGAUUAAUAUAUUUAUUUGUGUGAUUUAUUAAUAUAUUUGUAUGAUUAUUCGUAUAUUUAUUUGAGUCAUUAUAUUUAAUUUGAUUGCAUGAUUAUUAAUAUAUUUAAUUGCUCGAUUAUUAAUAUAUUUAUUUGCACGAUUAUACAUUUAAUUGCAUGACUAUGUUUGAUUGUAUAAUUACUAAUAUAUUUGUGUGAUUAUAUUUGAUUUCAUGAUUAUAUAUAUGCAUGAAUGGUUGUUAAUAUAUUUGCAUGGUAUUUUAUAUUAUUGCAUGAUAAUUAAUAUAUUUGCAUGAUAUAUAUAUUUACAUGAUUAUUAUUCUUACAUGAUAAUUAAUAUAUUUGCAUGAUAUUAUUGCAUGAAUAUUUUAGCAUGAUCUAGGCAUGAUAUUAUUGCAUGAUAUUUGGUAUGAUUUAUAGUAUUAUAUUUGCAUGAUAAUUUUACAUGGUAUGAUUUAAUAUUUAUUGCAUUAUUGUAUGAUUGUUUGAUAUUUUGAUAGAAUUUUUGUAUCACCAUGUUUUGUAAAUAAAUAAAAGAAUUGAAAUUAAUUUAUUUGCAUGAUAAAAUUAUCUUUGAUAAGGCUUAGGUAAGAUAACACAUAAUUAACUUGAUAUUAAUUUUGACUAGAUGCUACUACUUUUUCUAUAUGUAACCAAUUUUCAAACUUUCAUUCUGUUGAUAUAGAUCAGAAUCUAUUUUUUUUAGAGACCCUCAGCUUAAGCUUAGGAUAAUUAUAAAAAAGAUAGACUCACAUAAGUGACCAAUCACACUUAACUAAAAAAAGUUAAUAACAACUUCAUAAUUUUUAUAUUUAAUGUCUAAAUUUUCUUAACUUAAAUGUUAUGACAAUACAUAUCCUUUUUAUUCCCUUCGAGGCGUUAAAUUUUUUGGUGGGUUAAGUAAUUGCAAAUGUUAGUAUUAGCAUUACUAGAGUGUCUUUUUUUUUUUUUUAAUUUUUAUGGCCACCUGAUUUCCACAUACGGUGGUUUGAUGAUUGAAAUUUGAAAGUUCAAUUAUUAGUUAGAAUUGUUCUGAAAAGAUUUCCAAGAAUAUGGGGUUUUAAAAUGUGUAGAAGCUAGGUUCUUAACUUUUUGCUUUCUCUUAUUUGUACCACAAAAGCCAAGAAAAGAUGUCAUUCUUUUCUUUUUCGGGUCACAUAUCAAUUGUUUCAAACAUUAAACUAAUUAUUAUGCGCUAAUAAAAGUCUGUUUCUAAUAACAAAGUAGAGGCCUCAGAAUUUUUAAAUGUCAAAAUCAAAUCAUUGUAUACUGAUGACAUAUUUAAUUUGUUUAUUGAUUUCAUCUUGAAUGUAAUAGUAGUAUUAUAUCUAUUAAGAAAUACCUCAUUUCAUUGUAAUUUUUGCAUGUAUAUGUAAUUUCAUGAAAAAAAAAAAAACAUAUGCUGGUAUGGUAAAAUUUUGUGAAGAAAAAUGCAUCUUAUUCUUCAUUUUUAUAUUUAAAAUAUUUUUUGGGUCAAAAGGUUUUAAAUAAUUCUUUUAUAAAAAUUAAAUAAGAUUAUUUAUGAUAUUUUUAGUAAAAAUAUCAUAAAUAAUCUUAUUUAAUUUUUUAUAAAAAAUUAUUCAAAGUACUUCUGAUCAAAAUAUUUUAAAUAAUCUAAAAAAAAUGACAGUUUAUUAUUCAAGGUGUUUUUUAUUUAAUUUGAUAAAAAAAUAGUUGUAAAAGAUCUCGAUCUUGAGUUUGAGUAUAAAUAAUCAAGUUUUUAUUAAGUAAGAAUCGAAUUUAUUUUUAUAUAUAAAUCAAACCUAAUCGAACGAGCUUGAAUAGCUCAAUUUCUAUCACGAAUUGAGCUCGAACUAAAAAAAUAAAAUUCGAUCAAGUUUGAGUCGAGUAUCAAGUCGUGAGUUAAGAGUUGAGCUUGAGCUCGAGCUUUUCACUGUAUCAUCUCAAUUCAGUUCACUUACACCUCUAGUCACAAAUAAAAAUUUAAAUUGAUGAUAAAAUUAUAACAUCGCAUAAGAAAAAAAAUGUCAUAAAAAAUUUUCCAUCAAAUAAAUUUGGCAGUAAAAGUUUAUGACAUUUAUGCUAUCAUCAUAUAAUACCAUAAAUUGACGUAACAAAAUUGUAAUAUUAUUAAUAGUUAACUAAAGUAUUCAAUCUGAGAUAAAAAUUAAUAACGUCACCUAAAAUCUAUUAGAAAAUAUUCGUCAUAAAUAAAAUUUUAAAUUAGUGAUAUAUUUAUAACAUCACUUAAAAUAAAAUAAUGUCGCAAAAAAUUUUUUCACUAAAUAAAUUUGAUAGUAAAAGUUUGUGAUAUAAUACCAUAAAAUAAAAGUGACAAAAUUGCAAUGUUAUAAUAGUUAACUAAAGUGUUACAUUUAUGACAAAAAUUGAUAAUGUCACCUAAAAUCUAUUAGAAAAAAUCGUCACAGAUAAAAUUUUAAAUUAGUAACAAAAUUUAAAUGCCACAUUAAGUAAAAAAAUGUCAUAAAAAAAUUUUUCAUCAAAUUUAAGUUUGUAACAUUCAUAUUAUCGUCAUAUAACACUAUACAUUAAUGUGACAAAUUACAAUGUCAUUAAUAGUUAACAAAAGUAUAUAAUUUGUGUCAAAAAUUAAUAAUGUCACCUAAAAUAUAUUAAAAAAAUUUAUCAUAUAUAAAAUUUUAAAUUGGUGAUGAAAUUAUAACUUCACCUAAAAUAAAAAAAACAUCACAAGAAUAUUUUUCAUCAAAUAAAUUUAGCAAUAAAAUUUAACGGUAAGAUUUUGAUGAUAUUAUCAUGUGACGAUUUUAUAUAUUAUCAUAUAAAAUAUCAAAAUAAUAUAAAAAUAUGAUGAAAUAUAUUUUUCGUCAUCUUUUACGUACUUUACAUGAUAAAAUAUAAUGCAUCACUUAAAAAAAGUGUCACAUAUUAUCAAAUUUAUUGUAGUGUGUGUAUGUACUUGUUAAAACAUUAAAGAUUUAAUAAAAAUUGAUAAAUCAUGUUCCACUAUUGAAACCAUGAUUAAUAUGAAUAAGCUUUAAAAUAUAAUUUAUUAUAAUAAAAGUUUCAUUUAAAUUUUCACUUCUAGGUACAUUCAUACACAAAAAGAAUUAGUAUUAGAGGUUUAUUGUCAAACUAAUAAAACUCAUGGCUAUCUAAAUGUAUUCAUUUAUUUAUUUAGAUUUCGUCCUCAAAGCAAUUUUUUUUGUUAAAGCAACUUUAUUUAGUUACUAGACAUAAUUCCUUUAAUUUUUUUUCUUAUCACCGAUCCCUUAAAACAUGAGCUUUUUGUGAUAUUAUAUAUUUUAGAGAGUACAUACAUAAACAAAAGAUAAAGUAAAAAAUUUUUAUUAUUUCUUUGAUUUAAUAUUUUUAAAAAUAAUUUAUUCUCCAUUUAUUUUUAUGUAAUGUUAUAUUUCCACACAAUAUAUACAAAUAAUAAAUGUUUUUAUCUUUUUUAAGUAUAAAUUAGUUUAAAUAAAAAAUCAUAAUAUGAAAAGUCAUCAUAUUCAAUAUUUGCAAGUAUUAAUUUUUUUAAUAUAUUAAUUAAAAAAUAAAAUACGAAGAGUUGGCAUAUUUAUCUACAUAUAAUUUGAUUCUAAGCAAUAAGUAUGCUUAUUAGUGAUCUAUGUAUUACAUGUUAAGUUGUUAAUUCAUUAUUUAUUUGAAACAAAAAGUAAAAUUUGAAAUGUUAGAAUAUUAAUUUUCAUAUUUUUAUAUUUUAGUAAUUAAUGAUUUAAAACUAAAUAUUUAAAAAGAGAAAUAUAUAUAAAUCAACCUUUCAAACUUUUAUAAUUUUCUAUCACCAAAACAAAUUAAAAUGAUAGAGAAAGGAAAGUCUAUAAAAUAUUAUCAUAUUAAUUUCAUAUUUUCAUAAUCAAUUUAUUUUUAAAAACUUUCCAUAUUCAUCUAAUCAUUGAAUUUAAGAAAAAUGACAUAGAUACAAAAGUCACAAAAAAUAUUAUAUUAAUUUUAAUAGAGGAAUCAAAUAAUCUAAUUGUUAAAUUAAUUUGUUUUGCACCUUUUAUAACAUUUUAUACACAAUAAAUAUUUUUAUAAAUUGACUAUUAGAUUUAACAACCUACUUGUACAUAAUUUUUCACGUAAAGUUUCAAAUCUAUACUAUAUUCCUAUCAUUUUGAUCGAGAAUAUUAUUGCUUUUAAUAUAUACCAAUGAUUAAAGUUUUAUUAUUAUCACAUAAAUAGUUAUAUAUUUGAAAUAUGUUUGAAAUUUGGUAUGUAUGAUUUACUUGAAUAGAAUAUAAAAUUCAUUGGUUAAAUUAACAAAUAUAAAUCAUAUAGAAAGAUACGAGACGGUGUAAAACUAAAUUAGUUUUACACUUGUCUAAAUAAAUCCCUAUAAUUUUCAUUUUCAUAUUUAAUUAUUUAAUGAUUUAAAAAAAUCUUUGAAAAAAAAGAAAUAUAAAUUAACCUUAUUUAAAAAUUUUUCAUAUGCCAAUAAUCACUUAAAAUUAAUUAAUAUUAGAGAGAUUAAAAGCCACAAAUCAUCAUUAUAUAAAUUUCAAUCUAUACAUAUUUCAUAAAUUAAUGAUUUGAAAAUAAAUCUUAAAAUAUAUAUAUAGAUAAAUUUUACUGAUUUUUAGUUUUAUUUCUUUUGUAGAUUUCAUGAUUUCAUUUGUCUUUCAUAAUAAUGUUUUUUCUUCAAAAUGGUUGUUUUGUUAAAUUUGUUGGUUUAUUUCUUUUUUUAAAUUUUUUUAUUUUAUUAAAGUAAUAUAAAUAGAUUAUUUUUAAGGAAAAUUUUUUAAAAUUUAAAAAAUUUAUAUAUAUAUGUGUAUAUAUAUAUAUAUGUAUACAUAUAUAUUUAUGUACGUAUAUUAUUUAAAUAUUUUAAAAAUAAAAAGAUUAAUCAUGUAAAGUACGAGUCCAAAACCUAAUGAAGUAAAAAAGAUUUGAUUCUUAUUCUUUCUUAAUUAUAAUAUCAAUUAAUUUAAAUGUAACCAUAAUAUAGAAUUUAAUGGAGGGAACUUAAAAAGUAACAAAGAAGGAAUCUUUGUUGCAGUUAUUACCUGUGUGGCACCAAAAGUGAGGAGGACAGCAUGCAUGGGUCGGGAUGGUAGCGGAUUCGGUCAAAUUUUUACUCGUUUUGAAUUUAAUAUAAUUUAAUAUUUAUAAUAUCGAAUUUGAUUUAAUUAAUUAUUAUUUUUUUAAUAUUUAAAUUUAAUAUGAUUUAAUAAUUUUUUAUUUUUUAAAUAUUUAAAUUUAAUUUAAUAUUAUAUAAAAUUAUAUUCGAUUAUAAAUUUAAUUAAAAAAAAAACAAUCCUAAAAAAAUGCGUUAGGUUGGAACCUACUAGGAAUGGGUUAAACUAUCAUUCCUAUCUAUGGGUGAUAAUUUGGAUCGAUUUUAAAAAAUUAAAAAUUGAUUUAAUUAAUUUUUUUAAAGAAUCCAUUGUUUUAUUUUUAACAAGCAAAAAUAAUGGAAUUGAAAUAAGAUGGCUUUAAAUUUUGAUUUAUUUUACUUUUUAAAUUUCAAACUAAAGAAUUUAAUAAAAAAAUAGGCUUGUAAAAAAUUAAUGAUUUAUUUUAAUUUUAUAUUUUUUAGUUUUAAUUGUUACUUUUUAUUUUAUUUUAGUUUUAAAUUAAUUUUUUGAUAAAAUGAUAAGACAAAAUUUACUUUUUUAUUAUCAAUUUUUAUAAUAAUAUAAUUUUGAUUAAAUUGUUAUUUUAUAAUUUCUAAAUUGACCUAAAUAAUAUAAUUUAAAUAUCAAAUUACUAAUUAACAAAAACAAAUAAUGUCAAUAUUCGUUUUCUUCUCUUAAGUUUUCAUAACUUGAUAUAUUUGUUUUCUCUAUUUUAUACGUUCUCUUAAAAAAAAAAAUAGUGAAGUCUUUUAUUUUAUUUAUUAUUAAUAUUUUUUUAUAUGGAGACGAGUGAGCUAGGACAAAUUUGAAUUGUUCAACUCAAUUAUUCAAAAAUAAAUGUCAGUUCAACCAGACAUUAUUAUUACACGUACUUCUGUAGGUCCUGUUAUAAAAGUAAAACGAUUCCCAAAACAACUGGUUAGAAGAAGGAGACCCAACUAAAAUUAAGCUUCACCGACAAACGGACGGAUCGGUUUACGUAAGCAAACUAGUUUAAGUCUCAGUCAAUUAAACCUAACCAGAAAAUGCUGAUUCAUAAAGAAUACAUUUUUUUUUAGAAGAGAACCAAGAACAGUCAAUUUAUAUGCCAAUAUUAUUGCAUAAAAAAUUUUCCUCCAACUCUCUUAGAAAGGGAAAAUAAUGUUUAAAGAAAGUGAAAUCUGCUUAUUUGAUAACAAAUUUUUUUAAAAUGUUAAAAUUAAUAAAAUAAUAUAAUUUAAAUAUCAAAUAACUAAUUAGCCCAAAAUAGCGUGUGUCCAUAUUGGUUUUGUUGUUUAAAGUGUUCUUAUUCUUUGUUCCAUUUUAUAGGGUUCUCUUGAAAAAUGAAUUACUAGAAAUGGUAACAAUUUUGACUGGAUUAGAAUUGAUCUGAUUUUUUUUAAGGUAAUAUAUAAAAUUAGAAUUUUUUAAAAUUUGAUUUGAAUUCAAUUAAAAUUUUAAUUGUUUAAUUUGAUUUAUUAUUAUUAUUAUUUAAUUUUUAAAUUUUUCAUAUAUUAUUUUAAUAUGAUUUGUAAAAUAUUUAAAUAAAUUUAAAUAUAAAAUAAUUAUUUUAUUUUAUAAAAAUUUAAAAUAUAUAAAAAUUAAUAAAAAUUUAUAAUUGAGGUCAAAUUUUUUUAAUUUUUAUGUUUUAUUCAAAAUUCAACACAAAUCUAAUAUAUAUGUAAUAUCUAAAUUAAAUUAAAAUUAAAUAAAAAUAUCCAAAUCAAAUUAAAUAUUAUAAUUUUAAAUUAAUUUUUUUUCAACCCUACCAGUGAGUCAGGACAAAUUCAAGCUGUUCAACUCAAUUAUUAAAAACAAUGAGUUAGUACUACUGUGUAAGUUCUAAAGGCAAAAGAUUCCCAAAAUCUUUUGACAUAUCAUUCCAUAAAAAUGGUACGUGAUUAUAUGGUGAAAAAUUUUGAACAUUUUUAGCAAUUAUUUUUAAAAUGAUUUUAUUGGUAAUAAAAAUGUAAAAAUUAAAUCCAUUAUAAUUAAGAUACCAAAGGUCACCUCAUUAUUUUAGGUUAGUUUAGUUCGAUAAUGGGAUGCCAAUUUGAAGAUACAAUAGUCAUCGUGAUUUUUUCUCCUUCGAUUUUAUUUGUAUGUUUCUUAUUGAUUUUUUGGUUAAAUAAAUUUAAUUUUAAAAUUUUUUUUAAAAACAUUAUAUUCAAUCAAAGUUUUUUUAAAUAUAUUUUAAAAAUUUUGAAACUCAAAUUUAUAAUUUUUAAUAAAAAUAAUCAAAAUCGAGUUAAUUUAAUUAAAAUGUCAAUAACAAAACAAAAUUGAGUAGGAAAAAUAUAUUAUAAAAUAUAAUGAAAUCCCUCACAUGGUAGUUGGAUUUUUUAAAAGUACUUCUUAUAAUUUUUUUUUCAAGUUUUUAGAUGUUUCAAAAUUAUGUUAUAUAUGUUUUAAAUAUCUAAAAUUUUUAUUUUUAUAUUUUAAAAUUAUUUUUAUGAUUUUUUUAUUUUUGAUAUUAAAAAUCAUAAAACUUUAAUUUUAUAAAAAAAUUUAAAAUUUAAUAUUAAAUAUAUUAAAAUUAAAAAAAAAUUUUAACUCCAUAAAAAUAAAACAUAACAAAUAUUUUUUAAAAAAAUAAUAGUCGAAGGCUCCACGUGUUAGUAUGACCCAAGUCUAUUUUUUUUUUUUUAUAACUAAAAAAAUAUUAACCCUUUUCUGUUUUCCAGGAAAGCGACUCUCACACAGCUAAUUUUCAAAGUAUUUCAAUUCUGGUAGUUACCAUCUGACACGAGUAUUCUUGAAAAAAAGUGAGGUUCUUUAAUUUAUUUAUUAUAUUAUUAUUUUUGAACGGGAGUGAGGUUCCUCCUUCACAUGGAGACGAACGAGUUGGGACAAAUUUGCAUUGUCCAUCUCAAUUAUUCAAACUCAGACAUUAUUUUACACCACUGUCAUUGAUACUGCAUUUAAAACCCUAGUGCAAGUGCGUUCAAAAAAUUAAUGUGGGUCCAAUAUUGACUUGUAAAAGAUUCCGUAAAUCAAUCAGCAAAAGAAGGAAAGAGAACAAAAAUCAUCUAAUACAAACAAUUCAUCUUUACCCAGCUUCAUUACUUACUGCUAGCUCAAACUCUUUUCUCAGCUUCCUCCAAUCUUAUUUCUUCCCCUAAUUUCUUCCAACUACGCAAUCCAACCAUGUCUUUGUUUAGCGAAGCCUUGUCCGCUAUACGAGAAGUUGCUCUCUCCAAGUUCUUUGACUAUCUCCUAGACAAGUUGGGUUCCUUUGAAUUCUUUCAAUUUGCCAGUGAAAAGCAGAUUCAAGAGGAGCUUGAGAAGUUGAAGAAGGAAUUGCUGGAGAUUCGUGCGUUGCUUGAUGAUGCUGAGGAGAGGCAGAUCAAAGAUCAAUCUGUGAAAAUUUGGUUGUCAGACCUCCAAAACAUGGCAUACGAUGUGGAUGACAUUGUGGACGAGGUUGAAACCGAAAUUGCCAAGCGCAAUUUGAAGUUGGAACGUCAUGGUAGCUCAAGUAAGAAGCCCAGACUUGAUACAUUCAACGAUGUUUUCUGUAACAGUGACAUGAUGUCAAAGGUAAAAGAUAUCACUUCCAGAUUGAAAGAUUUAGAGCCUCAAAAAAAUAAGCUGCAACUGAGAAUGAUUCACUGCUCGAAAUCCAACAGAAUAAAAGAAAGGCAGCAGCCUACUUCUCUGGAGAUCGAAACUCAGGUGUAUGGCAGAGACAAAGACAAGAAGACAAUACUUGAAUUGGUCUUCAACGGUGAUGAUGACGGAAAAUUUGUGAUUCCCAUCGUUGGAAUGGGAGGGAUCGGUAAGACAACCUUGGCCCAACUUGUUUACAAUGAUGCUACCGUUCACGAUCAUUUUGAUCUCAAAGCAUGAGUUUGUGUUUCUGAUGAUUUUGAUGUCACAAGAAUAACAAAAGCAAUUUUCCAAGCAGUCAGUUCAGAGCCAUGUAAUGACAAUGAUUUGAAUUCUCUUCAAGAAAAAUUGAAGAAUAAGUUGUCAGGGAAAAAUUUUUUGAUUGUUUUGGAUGAUGUCUGGAAUGAGAAUUAUCAUGACUGGACGAUUUUACAAUCUCCUUUUCUAGCAAGGACUCCGGCAAGCAAAAUUAUCGUGACAACAAGAAGUCUUGAUGUUUCAUCUGCAAUGGGUGCUUCUUUUGCUCAUUCUUUGGAAGUUUUGUCAGAAGAUGAUUGUUUGUCUGUAUUUGCUCAACAUGCAUUGGGAGCAAAGGGAUUUGAAGGACAUCCAAAUCUAAAAGAAGUUGCUAAGAAAAUAGUGAGAAAGUGUAAAGGCUUGCCUUUGGCUGCUAAAACCCUUGGAGGCUUGGCUCGUACUGAUAUUGACCCUGAUGCUUGGGGGAAAAUAUUGGAGAGUGAGAUAUGGAAGCUAUCAGACCAUCGGUUUGACAUAAUUCCGGCUCUCCAAUUGAGUUACCAUCAUCUUCCUCCACAUUUGAAGCGGUGCUUCGCAUAUUGCUCCAUUCUUCCUAAGGACUAUGAAUUUCAAGAGAGAGAAAUAAUCUUGUUAUGGAGGGCAGAGGGCUUUUUACAAGAAGCAAGAGAUAAGCAUAGCAUUGAAGAUCUAGGCCACAAGUAUUUUAGAGAUCUGGUAUCAAGGUCUCUUUUGCAAAUAUCAAACAAAGAUAGAUCUCGAUUUGUUAUGCAUGACCUCAUCAAUGAUUUGGCUCAAUCAGUUGCCGGAGAAAUAUGCUUCAGAAUAGAGGGUAAUCAGCAAAUUUCAAAGCACGCUCGCCACUUGUCUUACAUUGGUGGUCGGUAUGAUGGCAUCAAAAAAUUUAAGGGCAUCAAAGAAGCGCAGCAUUUACGUACUUUUUUGCCAUUUAGGCUGUCAAAUUAUUGGAGUUGCUUUGUAACCAAUAAUGUUCUAACACAUUUGUUGCCAAUUUUGGGAUGCCUAAGGGUGCUUUCUUUGAGAGGGUAUCAAAUCUCGAAGUUGUCAGAUUUUAUUGGAGAUUUAAAACACUUACGGUACCUAGAUUUUUCUCGCACUCAUAUUAAAUGCUUGCCGGAGUCCGUAAGUACCCUCUAUAAUUUAGAAACCCUUCUAUUAAGGGAGUGUGAGAUGCUUGAAAAGCUACCUUCAGAUAUGGAAAACCUAGUCAACCUAUGUUAUCUUGAUAUCACAGGUGCAAAUAAAUUAGAAGGCAUGCCAAGUAAUAUUUGCACGCUAAGUGAUCUUCAAACACUAUCCAAUUUUGUUUUGCAAAAGGGCAAAGGAUGUCAAAUAAGGGAGCUAGAUGGUUUAUCAAAUCUCAAGGGUCAACUUUGUAUUUCAGGGUUGGAGAAUGUGGUUGAAACUCAAGAUGCAUUGAAGGCUAAGUUACAUGAGAAAUCAGGACUGGAUAAGUUAGAAUUGAUGUGGAGUUAAGACUUUGGGAAUAGAAAUGGAGUAAUCGAGACAGAAGUGUUGCAUUUGCUUCGUCCUUCAGAAAAACUUAAGGAGCUUCGCCUCAAGUGCUAUUAUGGUGUGAGGUUGGUGGAAUGGAUAGGAGAUUCUUCAUUCAAUAAAUUACUAUCUUUAUGUCUUGAAUAUUGUCCAAAUUGCACAUCAUUGCCAUCAAUUGGGCAAUUGCCAUUGUUGAAAAAAUUAUGCAUCAAGGGAUUGGACAAUGUAACUAGUGUGGGGGCUGAGUUAUUUGGAAAGAAUGCAUCAAAUGCAUUUCCUUCAUUGGAGACUUUAGAAUUUGAAAACAUGCCUAAAUGGGAGAAUUGGAACUUUCGUGAAGUUAAUGAGGAAGCUAAGAAGUUUUCUAAUCUUCGUGAGCUUCGUAUUGUGAAUUGUCCGGAACUGUUGGGGAGUAUACCAGAAAAUCUCCUUUCGUUGGAGAAACUUGUGAUUUGUGAUUGUGAGAAAUUGGUGAUUUCAAUUCAAAACCUUCCAAUGCUUUCAGAAUUGAAUGUUCAAGGGUGCCAGGAGGUAGUGUAUAAAGGUUUUGUAGACGGCAGCUCAUUAAAAAGGGUAUGUUUUUCAGGAAUUCCCAAAGUUUACUUGUGCAGCAGAAUGGGUUGACGUUAGGAUCAAUAAAAGUGGAAUCCUUAAGAUCGAAGAUUGUGCAGGAAUUGGCUCUUUGCAAGGAACAGUGGGGAUUGCUAACUCAGUCGAUGUCACUUGGAUUGAAUUGAGAUUGGAAAGUGGUCGCAACUUGUCUCCAUAGGGGCAAGAGGGAGAAAAGAGAAGAAUUGAUGACAUUUGAAGAUCCCUUGACACCAUUCAAAACUGACAAUAAGGAAUUGUGAAAGGUUAGAAAAGCUAUCAACAACCUUGAACUAUGUCUCAUCGCCUAGGGUGCUAAAGCUUAGGUCUUGCCCAAAUCUGAUUUCUCUUUUCAAACAACAAAUUGCCUUCGAAUCUAAAAACCCUAGACAUUAGUGAUUGUGAAAAUUUACGGUGUUUGUUGGAAGAGGGAGAGAAUGUUAACCUCAGCAGUGCAUGUCUUCUUGAACGGUUGUCUGUUAGCAGUUGUCCAUCUCUGAUUUCUCUUUCAAACAACAAUUUGCCUUCGAAUCUCAAAAGCCUAGAGAUUAUUCAUUUUAAAAAUUUACGGUGUUUGUUGGAAGAGGGAGAGAAUGUUAACCUCAGCAAUGCAGGUCUUCUUGAGACGUUGUAUGUUAACGAUUGUCCAUCUCUGGUAUCUUUAUCAUCAAGAGAGAAGUUACCCAGGAGGCUUGAACGACUGUCAAUAGUCAGUUGUGAAAAGCUAGAGUUCAUAGCUCAAGAAAUUCAAGAUAACUCUUCUCUUGAAAGUAUUAGGAUCCUUGGGUGUAGUAUUAAGUAUUUACCUCAAGGCCUGAACAAGCUCAGCCAUCUCCAGUCCAUAGCCUUAUAUGCUUGUUCAAAUUUGGUUUCCUUUCCAGAAAGUGGUUUGCCCACCUCAAACCUCAAAGUCCUCCGCCUCAGUUCCUGUGAAAAACUCCAAGCUCUGCCCGACAGUAUACACAACCUCAGCUGUCUAGAACAACUAGAAAUAGAAAAUUGCUCAAGUCUGACAUCCUUCCCAGAAGAGGGCAUUCCUACUAAUCUCAAAAGACUUACCAUCAAAGGACCCAAUAUUUGUAAGCCAC